AUUAGGUACCUUCUAGAUUGACUCUAGUGCAAGUGGGAGACUGUUGGAGGUAUGCCCUAGAGGCAAUCAUAGAGAUGAUGAUAUUCCAUUUGUAUCCAUGAUUUGUAUGUUGUGUUCAUUGAAUAUCCAUUGAAGGCUACUAGAAUUGAUUUGCAAUUAUGUGAAUUGUAUGUGAAACUCUUUACUUGUAUGGUUAUUCUAAAGUUGUCCCUAGUCGGAGUUCAUGUGAGAACACACAUGAAUAUUAGACUAGCACAUGUAUUAGUUGAUGACUAUGUUUCACAAGUCAUGGACAUGGAGAUGUUGAACUAAUAAUGUGGACACAUGUGGAGACAUGUGCUAGGACUGACCCAACACGAGAAGUAGUUCUCUCUUUGAACAACAUAUACGCUUUGUCCUUAGACCUGAGAUUGUCGCAUGUAUUCUAAAUGUGGAUCGACCUACUUAGGGGCUAUCAAACGCUACGCCGUAACAGGGUAGUUAUAAAGGUAGCUUUCGGGUUUGUCAAGAAGCAUGCUAUGAGACAUGGUCAAUCAAGAUGGGAUUUGCCCCUCUCUGAUUGAGAGUGAUAUCUCUGGGCCCUCGAGUGAUCGGAUCCGAAAAUGCAUGGCCAUGCUACGUACGGUUAAGAGUUAACCUACAAAGGGAUUCCGAAUCACAGGAUCAAGAAAGAGCGGUCGGCUUGAAGCUAGACCAAAUAUCGUGAGGCAAAGGGAAUAGCAUGUAUAUUAUGUUGUGAUGGUUCGUCUGAUAUGAUCUUCGUGUGCGUAUAGGAGUUGGCACGUCUUGCUAGAGGCCGCUACCGACUAUUGGGCCGAGUAGGAGUACUCAGGCCAUUUCUAUACGUAUCCGAACCCAUAGGGUCACACACUUAAGGGGCUGGAAGCCCAAUUCGGAUCUGAUCCGAGUUGGAUUAGGUUUAGAAGUACUAAUGGGCCUCGGACCCAGAGGUCCGUUAGGAACCUCUAUAAAUAGAGGGGUGGGGGCGCCCUAGGGUUGACACCUUUUUGGCAAAACACACCCGUCGCGCCUCCCACGCCCUCGUCUGUUGCAACUCGCGGAUCUAGCAGUCCGGCUUGCGACGCUUCCUCCCUGCACGUGUGGAUACCUUGGAGGUGUUGCGCCUACAGCACUUGGACGAGCCGCCGACGAGCCAACGACGAGCCGCGGCACCGGGGGGCAAUCUUGCUGCACGUGGAUGAGCUGCUGAGGAGCUGCUGGACGUUGACGUGAUCGACUACGUACGACUACGUUGAUCGACUACGUACGACUACGUGAUCGUCACUGCAUCGACGCAUAUCUACAUCUUCCGCACCAGUAGUGCGUCGAGUGGUAAUCCCGUGAUCCUUAUACGGCAGUUCUUCCUGGUUAUACGCGGUAGAAAUUUUGAUUUGCGCUAGUGUAGCCUACCUUGUAUCCCCACAUAUAAGUGGUGGAGUAGUUCUUCCCACCGGUCGGUUAAGUCUUGUUGAGCUUAGAAGCUCAGCCUUGGUUGUGGCUUCUCUUUUCAGGUGAAGUUGCAACUUCAGAGCUUGCCGCUGGCACUUGGCCGCCCCAGCUCCCUCCGGGUUGGACGGUCGAGUGGGAUCCUUCCUUGGACGGCAGGGAAUGGGAUCACUGAUGUCCUGGCUGACCUCACCAGGGACAUCCGACCCCGACGAUUAUCUUCCGCCGUGCUUUUGCCUUCUGUUGUUUUCUUUCAACGUUUGUAAAACUCUGAUUUUAACUAGUAUGUAAUGAAUUGUUAAACCAAUGGCGGAUCUGCUGUAUUCUCUGGAACCACUGACAUUCGUGUGAGUCAUGUUAACUCGGUCCUGUCAAGUGGUUAAAUCGGAUGAAAUCCGACGGCACAUCGGUGUGAGUCAUGUUAACUCGGUCCUGUCAAGUGGUUAAAUCGGAUGAAAUCCGACGGCACAUCGAGUUAACUCGAUUAAGGCAUGAGGAUCGCGUGUUAAGCGACUUAACCGUGCUUUAGUUGAGUUAAUCUGAGGUGUUCCGCCACACCAAGUUCUUCUGAGAAUAUUCCAGCUUUUUCUGGAAUUUAUUCUUCUUUUCCUUGAGCCUAAUCCAAUUUUUUUGGGAUGGUUCUAAAAUCCUUUUCACGAGCUCCAAAUAUUUUUUUAGAUUCCUUGUGUCCUGAUCUAUGUCUGGGAUUUUUCCUAGAAUUUUUGGGAUUUUUAAAAUAUUUUUCGUGGUUUAAAGUAUUUAUCUAGAAUUUUCUGGAUUUAUAUUCCCACAUAAAAUAAUUUCUGAAAAAUGAUCUAAUCUUUCUUCUCUAAACGGGCUGAACUCCUGAGCCCGGCCCGCUUCACACCAGCCCAGCAGGCCGCCAACCUUUUUCUUCUGCUGACCCGGCCCAGCUCCUCCUCUCUCAAGCCGGCCUCGCCUUCCUCUUCCACCAGCCCGACCCACCACCUGUCCCUCUCUCCCCCUCACCGCCAGGAGGGCCCCACCUGUCAGAUCCACCUUCCUCCUCUGGCCGCGCCGCCAGGCCAAGCUGCGCCACCAUGCCGGUGUCCCUUCGCCUCUCGGUGUUGCUCCGGCUCCCCACACCCCCUCGGCUUCCCGUGCCCGCUCGCCUCCCGCACGAGCGCCGCUUGCCCCUCCAUUUCCUCUCCCCCACCAGAAACCAUCGCCCCCACCGCUGGUUGCCAUUAAUGGUCGCUGCUGCCCUUUCUUGUCCACCAGCGCCCCUUCCGCUCCCCUUGCCCCUUCGCCCUAUAAAACGAGCACCUGAGCCCCGGGAGUCCCUACUGCUUCUCGCCCGCCGCCGCGCUGCUUCGCCAAGCGCCGCCGCACAAAGCCUCUGAGCUGCCACUGCUUACCCGCGCCCGCCGCCGCCUGUGUUGCUCCUGCGCCGAGUCGCCGGGCUGCCAGCGUUUCUGUCGUGGCGCCCACUGCACCGGUGCGCCACCAUCGCCGCAACCGCGCGCGCCCUGCCCCUUUGGCCCGACUAGCAGCCGCCGCUGGUAAUCUGACCGGACACACGAGCGGAGCAAGCAGGAACUGGAGGUAGAAGAUAAGGCACUGUUUUGCAAUGAAGUCCCUGAAAAACUUGUAAAUCGUUAUCUCUUUUCUUAUGUCUUGUACCUUUCACAUAAAUCCCCCUAGAUCUUUCAGUAUCUCUCAAUCUUAUCCUUGUCAUGUCUUUUUGCAGAUCUAACCUCGAUCUUUCAGCUUUUCAAGUGUCCUGUUCUCUGAGUCUAGGUAAACUUCUCUACUAACCCUUGUAUUUUGUGGUUAAUCGUGUUUAGGUCCCUAGAUCUUGUUUAGCUCGUAGAUUUCGCGUUUUAGCUCCGUUUUAAUGCGUUCAAGUUGCGUUAGGUUCAUCAAAGCAUAAAGUACAUGUUAGUGUUGUUGUCAUCCUAUAUUUCAUGUCUUUAAAGAAUAAAUUUAAUAUCAAUUUGAAUAAUGCCUAAUGAACAUGUGUCUUUCUAGAUAAAAGUUACCAAGAGUUAUCCAUAACUUUUCAUAAUAAAUAUCAAUAUGAUUAAUGACUACUUCAUAAUCUUUCUAAAUAAAAGCCAAUUAGGAUAUACACCAGUUUUUCAUAAACAAAAGAUAAUUUGAUUAACACUUAUUUGAAUAAUUCUUAAAUUAAAUUUAAUUUGACUAACAUGUAUUCAAUUUGUCUUAUAAAUAAAAGCUACAUAGGUUAUAACUCGAAUUUUUAUACUUAAAUAUUAAUUUGGCUAAUAUAAAUAUAAACAUGUUUUUAAUGUAAUAUGCUUAGUUGAACUCGAAAUAUAAAGUUAUGUGCUUAGAUGUUCAUCUAUGCUUUAUUUCCAAAUUAAAUGUUUAAUUUGCAUAAAUUCUACUUAAAUAUUUAUAAAUAAAACUUGAGUAGGUUUCUACCUCGGUCUUUGCAAAUAAAGUAUAAUCUAUCUUAAUUCUAACUUAGGGUAUUUUCUUUUUGAAAUAUCCUUUACAUAUGUUUUGCUAAAUAAAAUAAACCUAGCUUAUAGUUGUUUUAUUUCUUUCAUGAAUCAAAUCUCUCGAUAGUUCCAUUCUCAACGUUUCCCUAGAUUGAACCCUCAUCCUUUAGUACGCUCUUUUAAGCCUUUCUUUUGUUUUGGUGUAUUGUUCUUAGUUGCUCCAGUUGUUUGUUUGUUGCCGAUGUUUCCUUCGAUUAGAAGGAUCGCCGUCUGAAGCUUUGAAGGUUAAGAGUUUCAAGAAAGCAAGGACCGAAGAGCAAUAAGAGUAACUUGUCGUUGGAGAAAGGCAAGUGUCCCUAACCAUCCUUCUACCUAUGCUUUAUUCACAAUACCAUGAGAAUGUUAAUUGGAACAUGGAGAACCGCCCAAGAAAACAGUACAACCACAACAUCACAUGGCUCUGAUCUUAGCCGACUAAUUAGGCAUGUGGUUGACUAGUGGCCUUACCGAAAGGGCAAGGAGGGGGAAGGUGUCGGGGGUAUGACCCGGAGCGGUAGCCUUCUAAGGUGCUGAGUCAUUGCAACGGGUUGUGACCCACACCGCUAUUGAAACUCUAGCGAGCCACUAGUUGUCUAUAUGUCUUUGUAAAGGCUUCGUAGUGGACCCCUAGCCACUCACCAAAGGAAGUGUUUAAGGGCUUUGCAAACCCAAGCGACACGGGGAACCACGAGUUGUGGGUAAAGUGUACAACCUCUGUAGAGUGUAAACUGAUAUAUCAGCCAUGCUCACGGUUAUGAGCGGCUUGGACCCUCAAAUAAUUAAUUAAACUUGAAGUUGGACUUAAAUCGUUAAUUCUGGUUAGCUCCUGUGGCCUUGCUAAGUACCAACCAUAAGUGUACUCACCCUUGCUUACCGCUGUUCAGAAGAAGCUGCUAUGAAGAUGUUGUGAAGAUGAUGCUGAGUUCUAGGUGUACGCAACCCCCAGUCGAGUGCCUGUGAAGUUUGGAGCCUUCGUUUCCAGAGUUUAAGCUGUGUUUCUCAGAUAGUCUUUUAAGUCUUUUUUGUAUCUUUUCGCGUGAUACUAUUGCUUUUAUUCACUAAUGAUGUCACUAUAUGUAUGGAACUACAUCCUAGCAUACAUAUAGAUAGUACUUGGUUUUGUUUUAAAAACCGGGUGUGACAGAAGUGGUAUCAGAGCUGUAUUGACUGUAGGAUGUUGUUGACGCCAGAUUUUAACACGUAUGGGAUCGGUGUCAAGAGAAGAAAGGAUUGGCUGAUGUAAUGGAUUAAAAGGUCACGAUUGGGAAUCGGCCGAUUGGUGCUAUAGCUGAAUCGGCCGAUUGGCGCUAUAGUGUUUUGGCGGAUGGAGAUCGGCCAAUUGGAGGGCAGGAGCGAUUGAGCCAAUGUGGGCUUAAAGUGGGUUCCAGAAAGGAAAGAGAGAAAGAUUGGCCCGUGGGAGUACAAUAACCAACUCCGAUACGAGUUGCGUUUGUAAAUAUUCGUUUUCGUUUAAAAUUAGAGAUAGAUCCUAGUUGGUUAGGAAAUUGGUUGUAACAGGCUAUAAAUAGCCAUCUUUAAAGAUUUGUAAACAUAUAUCAAUCAAUACAACAAUCUACUUUUUCAUCGUACUUUACUUUUAAGUCGGCGACUUCGCUAAUACAUCUUUUUCUUUCACGAGUUCGUACGGGUUGGUAGGGCUGCAUCGACACGAUCUUCGGCCGAUUCUGUAAGUUCCGUUUAUCGAGUAAUAUCUAAGCUUUAACUUCGGACGCAUCGCUGUCGUUUCAUUUAGAUUUAUUCACCAGUUAUCGAUAUUUACUAGAAUUAUAGGUUUUAUCUACUGUUCUAGUUUUAUCACCAGUUAUCCAGCUUGAGAUUUGAACUAUCGGCUCUAUUGUUGUUAUUUUUCAUUCAUCAUUAUCGCAUAGCCGAUUAGAUCUAUUUUGAGUGUUGCUUUCGUAGCUUUAUCUAGUUUACUCUAGUAGUUUUCUUCGUGAUUGCUACGUGAUUGUCGCUGUAUCAUAGCUGAUUAUCUUUGUAUAGCAAAUCGGCCGAUUCGCUGAUACGCUUUCCAAGAUCAGAAACUUAGCCGAUCGGAGCCCCUGGAAUUUGACACGUUUUCUUCCUUGCAAAUCAAUAGGUCAGAUUGCCUGGCACGCCGCGCGAACCGCACCAGGGCGAUUACCCAAACAGGAGCUAAGCAGAUUCUCCCGGAUCGUGGGUCCGACACUGAAGGUCAAUCGGACGAUUUUUAGCGCCAACACACUUUUGGCACGCCCGGUGGGACACCCUCAACAUCCAACAUAUCAAAGACCGCCGAAGUCUCCGAAGACAAUGCCAUCGAGGUUACGGAGGCAGAUCUCAAGGAUGACCAGAAAGAAGAAUUGACAAAACACCUAGAAGACUACAAGAAGGUAUACCUGCAAUCUUUCAGUCGUACCAGGAGCGGGGAGGCCAUCAAGAAAGCUUCUCUUCCAACUCCCCGCCAGAUCACCAUCGCUGAGGACUCGGGCAAGAUGUCUGAUAUGAUCAAACAGUUUGUCUACCAGGCUUUCAUCGACCAAUCCCCAGUGAUGACCAGCACGGCGUACAACGCCAUCAUCAGCUCCCUGGCCAACAGGGUAUCUCAAGGAUAUCGGGGGCCAGCGUACGCCCCGCCCAUUGUGACCUCAGUCAGGAGUUUACCGGGCACAUCUCACUCGGCUCCUCAGUCGGUGCUGACACAACAUGGAGGACACAACACUUCAUUGCCUUCAAUGCAUCCAGGAUAUGACGGUGUGCCAUGCUUUCAAUCACAAGCGCCGCCUCAGCUUGCUCAAAUUCCCUCCGUGCAAUCAUUGCCCUCAAAUUCAGUGCCUUGGAGGGCACCGGCAACGGAGGUUGUUCUAGAUCAAUUGGCUGGUUAUGGACGCUCUCCAAUCUAGACACCUUUCCAAUCGGCCAUCCGGCCGACGGCCCUAUAGUAUCAACCGGCCGCAUCAGAGAUCAGCAGGGGGGUAGAUGCUGCUGAGAUACUCCGAAGUGCGGCGCCGAUGAUGCUGUACGAUGGGGCGGCUGAUUCGCUACGCCACCAACUGUCAACCACUCAGCCGGCCACGUUACCACAGAAUCCGCCGCACGCUUUGAUUCAUCACUCGGUCGUCCCGCCGCCGAUCCACCAACAUGUGCCGAUUCCCCAACCAGUUGUUCAUCAAAAGCAAGUGGAUUGGAUAGCAAGGAUAGCGGAGGUGAUUCAAGACCAAUUCGGGUUGAAGCCGAAAGUACAAACCUAGACGUACAAAACGCCAUACCCACCCGCCUACGAUCUACUACCGUUUCCCCAUCGGUACAAAGUCCCCGACUUCACCAAGUUUUCGGGGCUGGAUGACACCUCAACUAUGGAGCACAUAAACAGAUUCAUCAUCCAAUGCGGGGAGGUUGCUACACAGGAUGCUUAGCGGGUACGUCUGUUCUCAUUGUCCUAGCAGAAUGCAUUAAGGGUAAGAAGCCGAUAUUGUGUCCUUUCGGGAAAAAGGAACUGGAGGCAUUCGGUUUUGACAUGUCAAAGGCCGACAAAAUCUUCGACCUACUUCUCCAAGAGGGGUAGAUCAAACUCUCGCCUUAUCAUACAAUCCCAUCAGCCGAGCAGCUAAAAAAGAUGAAGUAUUGCAAAUGGCACAAUGCCACGUCCCACGACACAAAUGAAUGCAAGAUCUUCCGUCAGCAGAUACAAUCGGCCAUCGAGCAAGGCAGGCUCAAGUUCGAGGUCCCGAUGAAGCCAGCAAAGUUAAUGAAGAUUGAUCAACACCCUUUCCCCACUAACAUGGUUGAUACGGGGAGAAACGCGCUUCAAACCAAGGUGCUGACGUCAAAGUCGACUAAAAGGAGCGGCGCUGUGGACCCCAAAAAUCAAACUACGGUCGAAGAUGUCAAGGGGAAGAGACGAGUUGACGAUGAGGGUGAAGGAUCAAGAAAGGCCGCAUAGACCUAUUACCUCCCAAUUCUUGCUCAACAAAUAUCAGCGGCAGCAGGAAAGUUUGAGAUAUCGUGAAGAGGCAAUGCGACAACACGAAGAUCAUUGGCGAUGUGCGUUCUUCAUCCACUGCUGGGAAAAUAACCUCAGAUUGCCCUUGACUGAUAAUUGCCCAGAGUGCAGCGGUCCAUAUCGCGAUAAUCGCCCGUUCAAGAGGUCUCACUCCAGGGACAGAGGAUCAGAGCCAAUCAGUAGAAACUGGUGCGAGCAAGAGGAUCGGCACCUUUCAGUGCGUGAUCAGCUGGGGAGCAGAGUUGACUAGUAUGAUCGGCCAAGGGGCAGACUUGAAUAGUAUGAUCAGCCGGGGGGUGGAUUUGACCAGCACAAGCGACCGGGGGGGCAGAGUCAGCGCACACGAUCGGCUAGAGGAGAUGGCCGACGACAGGGUGUCAGAUGAAAAUCCCCUAGGACGGGAACCGGAAUGGGAGCAUGCCAGACCGCCGGCCAAACCGGUGAACCUCAUAUGGUGCUCUGAUGGAUUGACCAAAUCCCAAAAACGAAGGAUCCAACGUCUGCGCUAAUGGGAACAACAAGAAGAAGAGCACAGACGGAUGGUGGAUAAGAAGGAUGACAGGUCUCGAGUCUGGCGCCCCAAAAGAAACAACAAUGAAGAAGGCGACAAUCAGGAAUCGGUAGCUGAUGUCAGCAUGGUGUUCAUCUUGCCGAUGGAGUUCAUGGCCCCCGCCGAUCGGGACGACACGACAAAAAUGGAGGAACAGAUGGCACAAUUGGCUUUGGAGCCAAUGACAGCCACUUUUGAGAAACCCGAAGAUGAAAAACGGCAGCACCUCAACGCACUGUUCCUCAAAGGACACGUCAACGGUCGACCUUUCACCAGGUUACUAGUAGAUCGAGGCACUGCAGUCAACAUCAUGCCGUAUGCCAUGUUCCGGAAACUGGGCAAAAGCGACGAGGAUUUCGAAGGCAACGUGUCUCCCGUGCGCAGGGCACUCUGCGUCGACCUCACCAUCGGCAGUAAGACCCUUCCUACUACUUUCUUUAUUAUUAAUGGCAAAGGGUCCUACAAUAUGUUGCUCGGUUGCGAUUGGAUACACGCGAAUUGCUGCGUCCCGUCUACAAUGCACCAAUGCCUCGUACAAUGGGUCGGUGACAACAUUGAGGUUGUCACCGCCGAUUCCGCCUAUAGUGUCAAGUGUAUAUCUGGUAGGACUUGGGACACCGAUUUCCUGAGAGUGUCUGAUUUUGGCCUACAGCCGAUCCGAGCAGUCGGCUCUGAAGAUUCAGAUUAAAUGGAUAAGUCCGUCCGGGAAGAUGGGAAGCUGGGGCACAGGUUUAUGUUGGCCGAUUCAUUGGAGAUGGUAGAUUUAGUUGAUGGCACCAAACCAAGGCCGACGUACAUUAGUGCUAACCUAGAUCGUGAGUACAAGUGUAAAUUGACAAGUUUAUUUAAAGAAUUUAAAAAUUGUUUUGCUUGGGAAUACCAUGAGAUGCCUGGCCUAGAAUGGUCCAUUGUUGAACACUGAUUGCCUAUAAAACCAGGAUAUCGACCGUAUCAGCAGCCCGCAUGACAAUGCAAUCCUAAAAUUCUACCUGAUAUAAAGGCCGAGAUUACAAGACUGAUUGAAGCAAAAUUUAUUCGGCAGUGCCGUUAUGCCGAGUGGAUCUCUAAUAUUGUACCCGUAUACAAGAAAAAUGGAAAGCUGCGCGUGUGCAUUGACUUCAGGAACCUUAAUUAGGCUACGCCGAUGGAUGGGUAUCCAAUGCCGACAGCCGAUGUGUUGAUAGAUGCCACCACAGGACAUAAAGUCAUCAGUUUUAUGGACGGUAAUGCUGGGUACAAUCAAAUAUUAAUGGCCAAAGAAGAUAUUUCAAAAACGGCUUCCAGGUGUCCGGGCCAUCUCGGUUUAUUCGAGUGGGUAGUAAUGAUCUUUGGAUUAAAGAACGCCGGCGCUACGUAUCAACGGGCUAUGAAUUACAUCUUCCACAAGCUCAUUGGCAUCCUGGUGGAAAUCUACAUCGAUGACGUCGUAGUCAAAUCAAAAGGGUAUCAAGAGCAUCUAGCCGAUCUGCAAGAAGUGUUGGAGUGCACGAGGAAGCAUGGGUUGAAAAUGGACCCGAACAAGUGUGGCAUCGGCGUAUCGGCCGGGCAAUUCCUGGGAUUCAUGGUUCAUGAACACGGGAUAGAAGUCAACCGAAAAAUCAUAGCGGCCAUCAAUAAAGUCGUGACCCCACAGAACAAAACUGAGUUGCAGUCUCUAAUCGGCAAAGUCAACUUUAUCAGAGGAUUCAUAUCCACCUUGUUCGGGCGUAUUUAAGCCUUCACGCCGUUAUUGAAGCUGAAGCCCGACCAAGAGUUCGUGUGAGGAGAAGAACAACGAAAAGCGCAGGAAGACAUCAAGCAAUAUCUGAUCUUGCCACCUGUAUUAGUCCCACCGCAAGCUGACAAACCGUUCAGACUGUACUCAUCGGUUGAUGAAUGGGCUAUCGGAUCGCCGCUGGUACAGGAGUUCGAAGGGAAGGAACGGGUAAUAUACUAUGUUAGCAGAAGACUUCUGGAUGCCAAAACAAGAUAUUCUCCGGUAGAGCGGCUAUGCCUAUGUCUGUAUUUAUCAUGUACCAAACUCAGGCACUACCUAUUAUCGGCAGAAUGCAUAGUCAUGUGCAAAGAUGACGUAGUGAAAUACAUGCUAUCAUUACCAAUUUUGAAAGGACGGAUUGGGAAGUGGAUCCUAGCUCUGUCAAAGUUUGACCUAAGGUACGAAUCGGCCAAAGCUGGCAAGGGUCAAGUCAUGGCCGAUUUCGUGGCCCAGCACUGCGGACCGAAAAUCGCUGUCAUUGAGCCGGUUCCAUGGACUCUAUACUUUGAUGGUUCGUCAUGUGGGGCCGGAUCAGGAAUCGACAUCGUGCUCAUAUCGCCUUGAGGGGCAGGUUAUGAUUUCUCUCUGCCGAUAGAAGCAUUCGCGACCAAUAAUCAGGCGGAAUACCGAGCCAUCCUAAAACGCAUUCAAUUAUUGAGAGAGAUCAAAGCCGACGCUGUGGAGAUUUUUGGGGAUUCCAUGCUCAUCGUAGACCAAUUGACGGGAAGAUCUGAAUGCAAAGAUGAUGUCUUGAGAAUUUACUACGAGGAUUGCCUCCAACUUUUAAAGGAAUUCAUGUCUGCGGUUAUUGUGCAUAAACUAUAAUGAAGAGGCCAAUAGGCUUGCCCAACACGCGUCCGGGUAUCGGCCGAUUCAAGGCGCCAUGACUCUGGAACUCGCGGCCGACGAUUGGCGAAAGGAGAUCGCCGAUUACUUGAAGGACCCGUCCAAGAAAGUGGAUCGGCGGGUGCGUUUUCAAGCCACAAAGUAUGUACUACUCGAAGAUGAUUUGUUUUACCGAAUGAUCGAUGGAGUUCUGCUCAAAUGCCUGGGGACGGAAGAAGUAAAAAUCCUGAUGGGAGAAAUCCAUGAAGGCGUGUGCGGAGCUCACCAAUCGGCUCAUAAAAUGAAGCGGAUGAUUAGAAAUAACGGGUAUUAUUGGCCGACGAUACUCGAAGACUGCUUUAAAUAUUAUAAAGGGUGUCAGGACUGUCAGAAGUUUGGCAAUGUGCAACGUGCGCCAGCAUCAGCUAUGAAUCCGAUAAUCAAACCAUGGCCAUUUAGAGGUUGGGGAAUAGACCUCAUCGGAAAAAUUUAUCCUCCAUCAAGCAAGGGACACAAGUCUAUAUUAGUAGCCACUGACUACUUUACCAAAUGGGUGGAGGCAAAUCCGUUGAAGGCCAUAACAUCAGCCACCAUGAUCGAUUUCAUAAGAGACCACAUUGUUUAUCGAUUCGGUAUCCCUCAAACCAUCACAACUGAUCAAGGAAUGAUGUUCACUUCGGGAGAGUUCGAGGAGUUCACUACCGAUAUGGGAAUUAAGUUGUUGAAUUCUUCUCCGUAUUACGCUCAAGCUAACUGCUAAGCCGAAUCAUCCAAUAAGGGGAUAAUCAAAUUAAUCAAGAGGAAGAUAGACGAACAACCUAAAAAGUGGCACUUAUGUUUGACCGAGGAUUUAUGGGCUUACAGGAUGGCCUGCCACGGAGCCACUAAAAUAUCUCCUUAUCAAUUGGUAUAUGGUCACGAGGCAGUGUUGCCUUAGGAAUUAAGGACAGGGUCAAGACGCACAUCGCUUCAAGAUUAGUUGACGACCGAUGACUAUUCCCUCCUCAUAAAGGAUAGCUCGACGAUUUGGCAGUUCAACGACUGAGGGCCCUAAUCAGCAUUGAGGAGAACAAAAGAGGGUGGCCAGGUGGUACGAUAAGAAGGUCAAGGUCAAGCAAUUCUCCCAAGGAGAUUUGGUAUGGAAGUUGGUGCUGCCGAUAGGAUCUAAGGAUCCCAAGUUCGGUAAAUGGUCGCCCACUUGGGAAGGGCCGUAUAAAAUCGGCCGAUGCGCUCCGGGAAACGCAUAUAUACUGGAAACGAUCGAAGGAGAGGAGUUCACAAGGACCUUGAACGGAAGAUAUCUGAAGAGGUACUAUCCUAGUAUAUGGCUUGAUGCAUAAAUAAUGAUGAAAUGUAUCAAGAUGGUUAUUCGGAACAUAUGGCUGAUUUAUUAUUCGGAAGAAAUAACAGGGUACACGGCUGACACGGUACAAGUCGCCCUUAGCACAAAAGUACCAAUACACUUAUGGACCACACUUUUUCUUGAUCUCCCUCUCAAUCCGGCCUAAUUCUAUCAAGAGGCGGAUGCUCUUUUCUUCCAGAUCCUUCAAGGUAGCCUCAACCUCGACUUGACGAGGGAGUGGGUGGCUCCUGUCGAGAGGCGGCUGAGACGUUCCCGCCGCAGUGUCUUCAAUGGCGACUGGGCGAAGGAGUGGAUGACUUUGUUCGGUUGGCGGCCGCCUAGAGCAGUUGGCGUUGAUGUGAUCCCAGAUCUUUCGGACUUCAGCAGGAACGUGAUCCCUGAGUUCUUCGCGAUGAGCCCUGAUCAAAUCUUUGUCUGCUUGCGAUAACGGUUCAUCGGAGUGCAUGAUCUCGAUCGCUCGUUCCAGUUCAGGACUAAGGUGUCUCGGCUGAAAAUCAAGAAACAACCGCUCGGCGUCACAUCAAUCGAAAUAUUGAACGGGGAGAUGAGGGAAAUGUCGUACCUGGUUGACGGAGAGUGAGGAGGAGGAAGAAGACAUCUUCGCACCUAGUCUAAAGAUAUGGAGAUUAAACUACCAGAGGAGAAGAGGACGAGCGAUGCGAAUGCCUUUGGAAAUAAUACGGGGCCUCAUACUUAUAGAAGGAAAACGGGUGAGAGUUUGGUAAGACACGUCCCAUCGGAGUAAAAGGGAUAAUAAAUGAAAGGCCGCCACAAAGUACGGGUCAGGAUUGGACCCACACGUCAACGGUCAAAAGAAAUUAGUGUUUUUACAGAGCGGCCAGCACUUUUACAGUUCAUCCAAGGAGGGCAUUAAUAGCCGCAAUCGCUCGCUGCCUAACCUGAUCGGCCGAGUCUAAAGUUCGCUGGUCGUCGUUGGCCGAUCCAGGGACUUCUGGCAUGUGGCGAUGGAGCUUGAUUGCUUCGUGGGCCAGGUUCUGCCUCUCCUGCUUCAGCUCGGCGAUGACAGAUGGGAGGUCUUGAAGUUUCUUCUCUUCGACAGCUAUGGCCUUGGUCACUUGCUCCAUCUCCUUGGCCAGCUCUUCCCUUCGCCAUUUAAGGCGAUCUAUAGCACCAACAAUAUCCGAGCGAGAGCUUUCAAGAAAAUUGAUCCAGUGAUGUACCUCUUGAGCUCGAUGCUUGUAAGAGUCUUCCUCCUCACGGGCCUUUGCUAGUUUGGCGCAAUCAGCCAUGUGGCCCUGAACACUGGAACUUGCAUUGACUCAAUAUAUGCGGUGGGUGCCAGAGCUUCUUUUGCCUCCUCGGGAACUCAGCCUCUAGUAUCUCUAAAGAGCUGCUGAAUCAGCGAGGCGUUGUCCACUAAUCGGCCGAUAUCAUCUUGGAGGAGGGUCCGUAUGCUCUCGAGCUUGGCGCGGACGUCGUCGGGGAUUGAGCUUAGUAUGACUUGACGUGAAGCAACCUCCUCAUCGUCAGAAAGUGCGACCGCGAAGGAGAAAAGACUGUUGUUGGGAGUAUAUUGUUCCUGCAAAAGAGUAAAAAAAAUAAUAAAUACGGAUUAGCUGACGGCAAUGGGAAAUCGGCCGAUUUGGGUGAUAAGUCUCUUACUCUUUGAGGCGGAUUUCUUCUGCUUGCGCCGGUGGGAGUGCUGCCCUUGGUUCGGGAAUUGGUGCAACCGGUUCAUCAGAGGAGGAAGAUUCGACGAUUAUUGGUGCCCUACUUGGACCGGCCUGCUGGAAAGGUACGAGAAGCAAAUUCUUAUGAGUAUAAUGCAGAUGAUUAAGUCUGAUGAUAUGUGAUGGUUGCUAUACCUCCGUGGGUCGCUCGGCUGAUGGCUGUUGGAAAGAAAGAAGGAGUUAAUAUCGACAGAAUUCUUAGAAGGAUGUGAAAUGUGAAGUUACCUAAACAGCUUCUAUUAACAAUGAUGCAGCAGCCGCUCCAGCUUCUGUAGCAGCUUGGGGGUCAACUUCUUCAAUGACUGGAAGAAUCGGCGCAGCCAAAAAUUCAGCCGAUGCUGCCGCCGACUGAUCGGCCGAUUCCGUGCGGGCACGAACUCGGUGGCUCGUCUUCUUUGAAGUCUUCUUCGGCGUCUGUUUCGAUCGACCGGUGGUGAUGUCAUCAAUAGUUGGGGCAUGAUAGCCGAUGAGUGGGAAUACUGUAUAUGGGUAGCGAUUCUCUAUCAGCAUGCCACUCCGACUGCGCGUUGGAGGAAGUCGACUCUCGGACUGCAAAAGAAAAUAAGAGUUAGCGGCAAAACUUGUGAUAUAAAAGAAAAUGAUCGGCUGAGGAAAAAGCAGUACCGCUGCAUUCGGAUCGAUGUUGUCAGGGUCCAGAGUGUUGCAGUAUAUCGCGGGAGAUGCACAAAAGAGAUGUUGUUUCCAUUCUGCCCACCAUAAUUUGAAUUGUUGAAUAGCAAAAGGAGCUACUAUCCAGUUGUUCAAGUCGAUGGUGCUGGAAUCGGGUACUCGGUCGCACAGCCGACUGUAGUCAAAACCCUUGGUGAGCUCAUCCCGGAAUUUCACGCGACCGGCAAAGAAGACUUGAAUCGGCAGCUGACCCAGGCCGAACUGCCAUGCCGCAUCUAAUGGAUUGUAAAACUCAUAAGUGGGGGCAUCCUUCCCGGAGAAGAAGUUCGUUGGUAAAAUCCCUGGCUUGAUCAAGACGUCUGUGAGAUCGUUGUCGAAAGUGAUGGACAUUGAUUCAUAGCAGAACGGAAGCUCAAAAAGUGGUUAUGUUCUCUAAUAUGGGUACCAGCUGGUGGUUUCUUCACUAAAGCCGUUGUAAAAACAUCUGAAGUAUUUGGCUACUAUGGUGGUGGUGAGCGGGCAACCAGGGAAGACUGAUGCUGCUUCGUCGAAGGAGGUGCAUCGGCGCCGUACGGUGGGGUUUUCCUCUGACUCGAUAUUGGGGAAUGUCAUGAUCUCUAUCCGCUGCUGGGAGAUCUUGCUCAUGUACAAAUUGAGCCAGAGGUUGAUGAACCACCAGGGGCCACCUGGGUUUCCAAUCAGCUCUCCCUUUGACAGCUUGACGCCAAUUUGGUGCAUCAUAUGGUAGGCCGAUCCCAAUAAGUGUUUUCCUAAAGGAACACUUGCCCCUCUUGCUAGGGCUUCGGCCAGGGCUUGUGUGUUGGAAGAAGGACCGACUGCCCUACCGGAGAAAAGAUGUUUCUCUAGCCUGUGGCGGAUCCACUUCGGAUUAGCUUGAUUUAGACAGGGUUAAGUCGCCUAACAUGCGACACUCCUGCCUAAGCCGAGUUAACACGAAGUGCCGUCGGAUUUCAUCCGAUUUAACCACUUGAACAGGAUCGAGUUUAGCAACUCACACGAAGGUGAGUGGUUCCAGAGAAUACAACGAGUCCAAAGAGUUAGACCAAAUUACCGAUUUAGUUCGACCAUAAAAUCCAACAUCAGAGUUUUACAAGAUUCCAAGAAACAACAGAGAAAAACACUAGCGGAAGACUUCGUCGGGGUCGGACAUCCCUGGUGAGGCCAACCGCGACAUCACUGGAUCCUCUCCUCGCCGUCCGAGGAAGGAUCCCACUCGACCGUCCAGCCUGGCGGAAGCUGGGGCGGCCAAGCACCAACCAGAGAGGGGUCGGGAGCAGCAACUCCACCUGAAAAACAGGAGCCACAACAAGGAUGAGCUACUAAGCUCAACAAGGCUUAACCGAUAGGAGUAAAACUACUCCUUCUUCUAGACAUGCAGGGCUUUUUGGCUGAGGGGUUUGUUUGCCAAAAGCACUAAGUAACCCUAUUUUCAAGUUUUAGCUCCGGUUCUAGGUUCAUUUACCAGUCUAGGUUAUGCCACCUAUUCUAAGCAUUCAUAGAACCAAACAAGAGGUAUAGAUACAUCAAUAAACAUGUCAUCAUCAGAUUCCUCAUUUACUCAGGGUGACAUAGCGAUCAAGCAAUCUCAAACUGUGAGAGGCAGACGAAUCGAUUCGAGUUCUUUAACCAUGCAUGGUGAACCUAGCCUCACGACAUCCGCGCACCUGGAGGUCGCUUCCUGUGUCGGCCUUCCCCAUCGAUCCCCUAACCCGUGUCGGGCCCAUUUCCUUUGGUGCAAGGUUCCACAGACCCGGCCUCUGCCGUUCUGUGACCACGCUUGCCACCACGUGCGACAACCAGCAGGGGAAACUCCGUUCCAAGAACAAUGGGGCGACCGCUCACGUCUAGGUUCAAUCCGGUACUAGGCUUCCUCAUCCCAUACUAAGUAUGAGGCUAGUACUUUCAAACACUUGAUCACGAACACCACCACUGUCGGGCCUUAGCAAGUUUUCAUAGACAGACGGGGCUAACAUCCGACCACCAAAGAGUUACCAAAACCCUGCCCCGUCCAUCGUCCUUAUAGUUGUAACAGAAAGAUAGACAUCCAACUCCUACAACUCGCGAGUGACAGGAGAUCACUCGACUUUUACCGUCUCCUAGUUAAGCAAGGCGACUACACGAUCCAACAGCUAGUGCUCAGAUCAUGGGGACAACUAAGUCAUGCAUCUAGGGUUUCACACAACUCCUAUACGUAAAUGCACAAGCCUGUUACAGAAGGCAUGCGCAAGUCUGGUAAAACACUCAAGGUUUUCAUGCAACCGGGGCUUGCCUUCAAGCAAGGAGGACGGGAACUGCUCGACUUCGGGGGCGAUUUCGGCUUCAGCGGGCAGGAACUCAGCUACAGCUUCUUCUUCUAGGGCCGGGUGAAGCUCGUAGAAGCCGUCGGCGAGGUGCAGCUCUACACGAAUGCAAUGCAAGGGUUAGCAUAGACAGUUAUUUCAACAGCAACACUGGCUCGCCUGAGCCCAGAAACUUGCGACAAAGAGCAGGAGGGUGGGGAGGUUCAAGAGAGCUGGUGAUGAUCAAGAGGCAAGGGUAAGAAAGGAAACUGAUGAUCUGAUCCUUGAUAUAGAGGAUGUGGUAUUUUAGGAAGCCUCCGACGCAAGCGCUGAAGGGUUCCUAAAUUUACACAUACACCCUCGGGUGGAAGGAAAGAUCACAGCCGAACCCUCGGGCGAGGCUUAUAAGGGUCGGCGGAACAGACAGGGUCGGGCGAGACGGAACCGGGGUCGGGCGGAUAGGAGGGGUCGGGCGAGGCGGACUGGGGUCGGCAACUCACCUUCUUCCUGAAAGGAAAGCUUGGGGUCGGGAAGAAGCAGACUUGGGCGGAGGGACUAAAGCUUCGAACAAGGGCUAAGACUGGGAAUGCUACGGCGGAGGCGGUGCUUCUUGCAGAUCACAAGAGAGCUUUUACGCAGCACGGAGGAGCAAGCUGCGGGGUGACUUGGAGAAAACUGAGAGAGAAUCUGAGAGAAGAACUCCUCAAGAACUUGGUGGGUGGCGCUAGGAGCUUGAGCAGGGAGCGAGAGAAUGGCUAAGGCAACUAUGGCGGAGGGAACUCCGGCGAUGGGAGCAUUCCUUUUAUAGCUGCUGGAACGGAGAAAGGAAGCGGCGCGGGAGAGAGAGAAGGGGAGCGGCGCGAAGGCCGGGGAGAGGCAAUGGAGUGCUCUGCCGCGGCGGCGAUUGAGCAAAGAGGGCGGUGGUGCAGGGCUCCGGGGGUGACACCAGCGAUCAUUGGGUUCUGCCGUCAGGGCGGCGUAGGGGCGGGUAGACCGGUGGUUGAGAUUUGGUGGAAAGCGGGCGUCGCCGUGCGGAAGAUUUGAUAGAAGCGACCGGUUUAACGGCGCUACAAUCAAGGGCGCACAGGUGAGAAGACAGGCAGCUGCGGGCGCGCGGGCGAGCGCGGAGCAACAGAUUGUCGGGCGGCUUUUUACAGGGCGGGGAAAGGAGCUGUCGCGGCCGCGGUCGGGGUUGGCGGUGGAGGAAUUGUCGUGUAGCGGAGACCAGGCGGCGCGACUGUGGCUGAAGGGACGGAAAAGACGGGCGACAUCGGGCUCUGGGGCCGGGAUCUGGCGGCGUGAUGAUGGGCGCGGGAGGCGAGGCUCUGCAGAAAGGGGUGCAGAGGGGCUUCCGCUGCCAUUGGGGAAAAGGGCGCGAGAACCCACUUGGUCGCUUGCCAGAGACAAAACUGAGCGGCAGGCGUCGGAGAAGACGAGCCAUGCGGCAGGGAGACUCUGAAGCGGGCAUGCAACUUGAGUGCGCCUGUCGCGGAGGAUCUGGGGAAAAGAUCUCGCGGGUCCACCGGUGGAUAGAACGGACGUUUGUGGAGGAUUAGAAGGAUCCGACGGUGGGCUGAGCUCGCUGGGGUCGGGAGAAAAGCGAAGCAGGGAGGGGUCGGAUCUCCGGGGUCGGAACCAGGCGGAAGGCCGAGCACUCGGCGCGGUAAAACAAGACAGAUGACUCUGAUCAAGGGCUCUGAUCAAGACUAACUAGGAAGGUUUAGGGGUCGGUCGUUACAGCCUACCCCUCUUAAAAAUAAAUCUCGUCCCGAGAUUCAGACAUCAAAAAGCGAGGUGACGUUUUUACCUCCUUGACGAGAUAGAAAACCUGGGAAGCGCUUGUUCAGAUAUUCGUCCGUUUGCCAUGUUGCUUCAUCUUCGGUGUGGUUUCUCUAGAGGAUCUUGUACAUCUUUACCACUUGGCAUCGGGUGUGCCUUUCCUUCUGGUCAAGAACUCGAUCUGGGUACUCGGCGUAGGUCAGGUCGGGCUCUACUUGAAGCUGUUCUUGCUCUAAGAUCUCUGCUGGAACUCGGACAUAUUUCUUCAGUUGAGAUACAUGGAACACAUCGUGUACGGCCGAUAGCUGUUCUGGGAGUUGGAUCCGGUAAGCAACGGGUCCACAUAUCUCCACAAUCUCAUAAGGGCCAACAUAGCGGGGAGCUAACUUGCCUUUGACUCCAAACCGUUGCACUCCUUUGGUCGGGGAGACUCGAAGGUACACGUGAUCACCAAGGUCGAACUGCAGGGGUCUUCUUUGCCGGUCGGAGUAACUCUUCUGUCGGGAUUGGGCAGCCUUGAGAUUAGCUUGAAUUACCUUUACUUGUUCUUCGGCUUCUGCCACCAAGUCAGGGCCAUAGACCCGUCUUUCUCCUGGUUGGGACCAGUUCAAGGGUGUCCUGCAUCUCCGGCCAUACAGGGCUUCGAACGGUGCCAUCUUCAAACUGGCCUGGUAGCUGUUAUUGUAGGAGAAUUCUGCUAAGGGCAGACACUUGUCCCAAUUCUUGUCAUAGUGGAUAACACAAGCUCUUAACAUGUCUUCGAGGAUCUGGUUGACUCUCUCGGUUUGACCAUCGGUUUGACCAUCGGUUUGAGGAUGAUAGGUUGAGCUUCGGAUGAGAUUGGUGCCCAUGGAUGCUUGUAGUUGCUCCCAAAAGCGUGCCACAAACUGAACUCCUCGAUCAGAGAUGAUGGUCUUGGGCACACCAUGUAGGGAAACUAUGCGGUCGAGGUACAACUCUGCAUACUGCUUGACGGUGUAGGUGGUGCGAACAGGAAGGAAGUGGGCGGUCUUGGUCAGACGGUCCAUUAUAACCCAGAUGGAAUCAUAUCAUUGCGAUGUAAGGGGCAAUCCAACUAUGAAAUCCAUGCUGAUGUCUUCCCAUUUCCAAGAGGGAAUAGGUAGCGGUUGUAGGGUUCCUGCUACCUCCAAAUGACUGGCUUUGACACGUUGGCAGGUGUCACAUUCUGAAACAUACCGGGCAAUUUCCGGCUUCAUUCCACUCCACCAAAAGGUUCGACGGAGAUCAUGGUACAUCUUAUUGCUGCCAGGAUGGAUCGAGAACUUGGAGAGAUGAGCUUCAUCUAGGAUUUGCUUUCUCAGCUCGGGGUCGGCGGGUACAACUAGUCGGGUUCCGUAAUGCACGCCUCCUGUUUCGUCCUGUCGGAAUUGCUUAUAUCCCUCAUCCUUUACUGAGAUCUUACUGAGGAUCCGUUGUAUUUCCUUAUCUCUUACUUGUGCUGACCGGAUUUGGUCUUCCAAAACUGAGUCAAGGAUGAUGUGACCAAGGGUUCCAUGAGGAAUAAGCUCCAGACUGAGGUUUCCCAUCUCGUGACACAGAGUCUUGGUGAAGGCUGUUGACAACAAGCAGCUGCAAUGGUGCUUGCGACUAAGGGCAUCGGCUACCACAUUGGCCUUGCCGGGAUGAUAGUGCACUUCUAAUUCAUAAUCCUUUAUCAACUCCAGCCAUCUUCUCUGGUGCAUGUUGAGGUCGGCUUGAGUGAAGAUGUACUUGAGGCUCUUGUGGUCGGUGUAGAUGUUGCAGUGGGUUCCCAUCAGGUAGUGUCUCCAUAUCUUCAAGGCAUGUACCACUGCUGCUAGCUCCAGGUCAUGGGUUGGGUAGCUUAGCUCAUGAGGUCGUAACGCCCAUGAGGCAUAGGCAAUGACUCGAUUGUCUUGCAUAAGAACACAUCCGAGUCCAGUGCCAGAGGCGUCACAGUAUACGUCAUACGGCCUAGAGGGGUCGGGCUGAGCCAAAAUUGGGGCUGUGGUCAGCAAGUGCUUCAGGGUCUUGAAGGCCUCUUCACACUUGUUGUCCCACACAAAUUUGACCUCUUUCUUCAACAACUCGGUCAUCGGCUUAGCUAUCUUAGAGAAAUCCGGUAUGAAAAGCCGAUAGUAACCAGCCAGUCCAAGAAAACUUCUGAUCUGGUGCACUGAGGCAGGGGGCUUCCAUUCCAUGACUUCCUGCACCUUACUGGGGUCAACGGCGAUACCAUCCUUGGAGAUAGUGUGUCCCAAGAACUUGACACUAUCCAACCAAAACUCACAGUUGGAGAACUUGGCAUAGAGUUGGUGAUCUCUUAGCCGUUGGAGAACUAUAGGAAGAUGGUCGGCAUGCUCUUCUUCGUUCUUCGAGUACACUAGAAUAUCAUCAAUGAACACCACUACAAACUUGUCCAGCUCGGGCAUGAAUACCGAGUUCAUGAGGUACAUGAAAUAGGCGGGUGCAUUGGUGAGUCCAAAGGACAUGACUAGGUACUCGUAUAGUCCAUAUCUGGUAGAGAAAGCUGUCUUGGGUAUGUCGCAGGGUCGAAUCUUGAUUUGGUGAUAACCAGAACGAAGAUCGAUCUUGGAGAACACCUUUGCUCCGGCUAACUGAUCAAACAAGACAUCAAUGCGGGGUAGUGGGUACUUGUUCUUGACCGUCACAGCAUUGAGGGGUCGGUAAUCCACACACAUACGUAGACUGCCAUCCUUCUUUUUCACAAACAGGGCAGGGCAACCCCAAGAUGAUGUACUGGGUCGGAUGAAGCCUUUUUCCAACAGAUCAUGCAACUGGGUCUUCAACUCGGCUAACUCAGCGGGUGGCAUCCGAUAGGGUCUCUUAGAUAUAGGGGCUGUGCCAGGGAUCAACUCUAUGGAAAACUCCACUUCUCUAUCAGGUGGCAUACCUGGCAAGUCUUCUGGAAACACGUCAGGGUACUCACAGAUAACAGGGAGGUCUUCUAGACGGGCUCCCGAUAGAGGGUAGGCACAAGGAAGCGAAGACUCAGGAUGGGUCAAGGAUAGGGUAGAACUGCCAUGGGAGGGUGAGCUGAUGCAGAGAGAUCGGGCUACUGCAUCUAGAACCACAUGAUGUCGGGCCAUCCAAUCCAUACCAAGGAUGACAUCUAUACCUUCUAGGUCAAGGAUGAUAAGGUUUUCCUUGAAGAGGGUGGGGCCUAGCUGGAGAGGUACAAGAAUAACAAUCUGAUCCGAUGUUAUCCUUCCUCCAGGAGUGGCGAUCACAUAAGGUUCCUUAGUGUGACCGACACUUAGCCCACAUCUUUCCCUAGCCUUACUCCCGAUAAAGCUAUGAGAGGCUCCCGAAUCAAACAACACAACAACAGCUUGAUUUAAAACAAGGAAAGUACCCGUCAUUACUGGCGCACCUUCGGGAAGCUCGGUCAAGCUGGUGUAGUUGAGUCGGCCUUGUCGGACUUGUACCUUGGGCCUUCUUCCUCUGGCUGCCAUGGGGUUCUGACCUUGCGGUUGAUUCUUGUUCCUGGGGCAGUCCUUUGCAAAAUGUCCUUCAUUGCCGCCGGUAAAACAACGGUUAUUGGCUGCCGGGCGGGGUGGCGUUGGCAGGGUCGGCCGGGGCACCUGCGGUUGGAAGCCUGGAAAACGAGGCGCUGUUACUGGCGGGGGUCGGGCAAUCCAUCUUCCUGACUGUUGGGGUCGGCCAGGGGCUUGUGGAGGAACCAUCUGGAACUUUCGAGUCGGCUGACUCGGAAAUGCCACAGAAGCUUUCCUCUUCUGGUCGGCCUUGAGAGCUUGCAUGCAAUCUUCUUGGGAAAUGGCCAGAUUGACCAACUCAUUGUAGGUAUCCACCUUGAUGGGGUUCAACCUUUCCCUGAGCUCCAAGCUCAGUCCUCGGCGGAAUCUGUCCCGCUUCUUCUCGUCUGUGUCCGCAUGAUAGCCAGCAUAACGGCACAGGUCAUUGAAAGCUUGAGCGUAAUGCAGCACAUCCCGAGUUCCUUGGGUGAGGGCCAGAAACUCGUUGAGCUUGCGCUCCAAGAGACCUUCUGGAAUGUGAUGCGCCUUGAACGCCGUCUUGAACUCAUUCCAACUGACCACGUGGCCAGCCGGCAGCAUGGCAUGGUAGUGAUCCCACCAAAGCCGUGCGGAGCCACGCAGCUGUUGGGCUGCAAACCGAGCCUUGUUGUUGUCGGGGCAUGGAGCGGUGAGAAGCUCAAACUUGGAUUCGAUCGUACGAACCCAGGCGUCAGCAUCGAGCGGUUCUUGUGUCUUUUGGAACAAAGGGAGCUGUGUCCCUAGAAAGUCCUCAUACCGAGCGAUAUGCGGCUGCUGCUGGGCUCUUCCACCAUGUGGUUGUUGCUGUUGCCCUUGUACCAGAUGCCUUAGCAGCUCGGUUUGAGUUGCUAGGAUUGCCUCCAGUGGCGAUGAGGGCGGGGGUGGGGGAAGAUCCUGUCGCUGAUCGCUACUGCCGGGCACAGAACCAGACCUGGUGCGAUGCGCCAUCUGCAAGAGUUAACGCUCCAUCAAUUUCAUAACCUUAGGUGUACCCCAACAAAUGGAACGUAUAAAUUAAAUCCUGCAAUGCGACUCUUGCCAUUGGUGCAAUCACACGUCCUCAUAGAGAAAACAUACUUUUUUCGUUCUCAGAGUAGAUAACAUCUAUCUUGACCUGGUACUCAAUCUUCAGGCAAAAACAGGUCAUAUACAGACUCCUAUGAUCCCACUCAAGCCAAGGGGUCGGGCUAGGCGAUCCUUCCGAGAGAACAAGGGGUCGGCAACGAUCCCUACUUAAAAAGGUCGGACGGGGCGGAAACUGCCUCAAGGGUCGGCGCACUCUGCCUCACAAACUGGGGUGGGCCAACUGAACAGGCUCCCCGAAAACAGCAUAUGGUCAUGGCGCAACUUACUUAACCUAGCAUCCACACCAUACGAAGAUGAAAAAGCCAGGCACCAGAAUCGACUUUAUAUACAACGAUGUUCCAAACACAGGGAGUACUCAACUCUAGGCUAACCUAUUACAACCUUUCCAAAACUAGGCUGCCAAGGAGUACAACAAAAGAAUGAUCCCCUGAGAACCCGCAAUCUACCAAUGGACACUAUGCGUCGGAGAAGGGGCGCCAUCUUCCUCGAUAUCCAUGCUGGACGCUCCCUCGUCUUCCUCAGGGUCCUCCUGAGCUUCGAGCUGCAUGUUGAGGGCAUGCAUAUCCUCGAGCUCAGCUUGAUGCUCCUCCAGAUAGGCAUUGGCAACUGCCAACUCCAUUUCCACCUCCAUCUUCUCCUCCGAUAGCUCUAUCAUGCCGUCCACGAGGUCGGCGACUUCUCCCUCAAGCUCGGAGAUCCGGUCUUGCAUGUCGUGGAUCUGGAUACCCCGUUGAAUAAGCUGGUAGGUUUGGCCUACCAUAUCUCUUCGGGCCGCUUGGAGGUACCCGUGAACAUCUGCUGCUGUCCGGGCGAAGAGGGUCAUGGCUCUCCCUUGAAGCUCUAUCAACCGGUAUAGAGCGGCCAUGCACCUGAUGUUGGUGGAGAUGGUGACCAUGGAGCAUGUGGUGGCUAGCACUUCGAUGUUCCCGACACGGUCAAGCCAUGCCGGGUCCAGCCGGUUCCUGACGGGGAAGAGGCCGAUCGGGUCGAGCGUGAUCUCCAAGGGGUGCAGCUAACAGAACUGGGUGAGCAACUGGAGGGCUGCAGACUCCCAUGUAUCCUCAGGACCAAGGCCAUAGGCUAUUAUGCCGAAGGAGGGCCAAUCGGGCCGUGCAGGGGGAGGAGGUACCAACGCCUGCACUUGGCACGUCUGGAUACCCUGCUCCAGAUAUAACCAUCCGGCAUACAAGGGUGGGGACUGGUACCCAAACCACUUCAACGUAUCCCACAGAAUCGCAGGGAAUCCCUCGAAAUGUAGACAUGUCGACUGGAAAGUACCGUCCGCUCCAAAAAGAACAUGUCCGGGAACAGCCAUCUGGAACCAAGAAACCGAAACCACGUGAGAUAGACUCCAAGGAUCAGGGGUCGGAUAGAGAAGCAUUCGGUUUUAACCGAGAGCAACUAAAAGAAACUAGAAAUCCUUAGAUCCAAAAGAACUCUUCCGAAAAAGGUUGCUGUUGAGAGGGAAACAUUACAGCAUUUUUAGACAUGACGCAUGCACGGCCUACCUUACACAUAACCAAAGCAACUGCCCGAACUCGGGUCUUACGUGGUCAGUGCCGGUGACAAGGCAACAAUUACGUCUCUCCCUAUAAUAACUAGUCGAUUCGACAACGUCUCCUAAACGAACGCGGUUAGCAUACCUGCAGAAAAACACCAACACACGAACCUUUCAUGCCAGCACCCACGAAAGCGUUCCCAAACAUUACCGCUCACUAUAGGAACGGCACCCAUGCGUUUAAGGCUGCAUGGACAGCACUCAACCGUGGAAAUAGGUUCCUUUUGAAUGGAACCAUAUAACCCUUCGCAUACUCGUGAUGCGGAAUCGGCACACGUAUGACAAACGUGGCGAACCAACCGUGCUGAUAGGUUCGUUGGAAUCGAACCGUACCAACCUUCGUAUGGAUCACAUACGGAACCUGCGCACGUGUGAUAGACAUGGGCGAAAACAACCGCGAAGAUAGGGUCCUUUGAAUGGAACUCCCUAUCAACCCUCGCAUCCUCGCGAUGUGGAACUCGGCACACGUAUGACAGACGUGGCGAAGUGCUGGAAGGGUUAGCAAAAUAACCAAGUACUUAUUAGUCACCUAAAACAACCCCCAAAAUCCCCUAGGGCCUCUCGCACUAAAGCCAUCCUUAGCGGUCGUACGAGAUUUUUCAAAAAGUUUCUUGCAACUUUUAUCUUUUCCAAAGAAGUGUGUAGGGCUUGUUGUGUUCUCUGAAAUGCUAAACACGGCUCUGAUACCAGCUGUGGCGGAUUCACUUCGGAUUAGCUUGAUUUAGAUAGGGUUAAGCCGCCUAACAUGCGACACUCCUGCCUAAGCCGAGUUAACACGAAGUGCCAUCGGAUUUCAUCCGAUUUAAGCACUUGAACAGGAUCGAGUUUAGCAACUCACACGAAGGUGAGUGGUUCCAGAGAAUACAACGAGUCCAAAGAGUUAGACCAAAUUACCGAUUUAGUUCGACCAUAAAAUCCAACAUCAGAGUUUUACAAGAUUCCAAGAAACAACAGAGAAAAACACUAGCGGAAGACUUCGACGGGGUCGGACAUCCCUGGUGAGGCCAACCGGGACAUCACUGGAUCCUCUCCUCGCCGUCCGAGGAAGGAUCCCACUCGACCGUCCAGCCUGGCGGAAGCUGGGGCGGCCAAGCACCAACCAGAGAGGGGUCGGGAGCAGCAACUCCACCUGAAAAACAGGAGCCACAACAAGGCUGAGCUACUAAGCUCAACAAGGCUUAACCGAUUGGAGUAAAACUACUCCUUCUUCUAGACAUGCAGGGCUUUUUGGCUGAGGGGUUUGUUUGCCAAAAGCACUAAGUAACCCUAUUUUCAAGUUUUAGCUCCGGUUCUAGGUUCAUUUACCAGUCUAGGUUAUGCCACCUAUUCUAAGCAUUCAUAGAACCAAACAAGAGGUAUAGAUACAUCAAUAAACAUGUCAUCAUCAGAUUCCUCAUUUACUCAGGGUGACAUAGCGAUCAAGCAAUCUCAAACUGUGAGAGGCAGACGAAUCGAUUCGAGUUCUUUAACCAUGCAUGGUGAACCUAGCCUCACGACAUCCGCGCACCCGGAGGUCGCUUCCUGUGUCGGCCUUCCCCAUCGAUCCCCUAACCCGUGUCGGGCCCAUUUCCUUUGGUGCAAGGUUCCACAGACCCGGCCUCUGCCGUUCUAUGACCACGCUUGCCACCACGUGCGACAACCAGCAGGGGAAACUCCGUUCCAAGAACAAUGGGGCGACCGCUCACGUCUAGGUUCAAUCUGGUACUAGGCUUCCUCAUCCCAUACUAAGUAUGAGGCUAGUACUUUCAAACACUUGAUCAUGAACACCACCACUGUCGGGCCUUAGCAAGUUUUCAUAGACAGACGGGGCUAACAUCCGACCACCAAAGAGUUACCAAAACCCUGCCCCGUCCAUCGUCCUUAUAGUUGUAACAGAAAGAUAGACAUCCAACUCCUACAACUCGCGAGUGACAGGAGAUCACUCGACUUUUACCGUCUCCUAGUUAAGCAAGGCGACUACACGGUCCAACAGCUAGUGCUCAGAUCAUGGGGACAACUAAGUCAUGCAUCUAGGGUUUCACACAACUCCUAUACGUAAAUGCACAAGCAUGUUACAGAAGGCAUGCACAAGUCUGGUAAAACACUCAAGGUUUUCAUGCAACCGGGGCUUGCCUUCAAGCAAGGAGGACGGGAACUGCUUGACUUCGGGGGCGACUUCGACUUCAGCGGGCAGGAACUUAGCUACAACUUCUUCUUCUGGUGCCGGGUGAAGCUCGUAGAAGCCAUCGGUGAGGUGCAGCUCUACACGAAUGCAAUGCAAGGGUUAGCAUAGACAGUUAUUUCAACAGCAACACUAGCUCGCCUGAGCCCAGAAACUUGCGACAAAGAGCAGGAGGGUGGGGAGGUUCAAGAGAGCUGGUGAUGAUCAAGAGGCAAGGGUAGGAAAGGAAACUGAUGAUCUGAUCCUUGAUCUAGAGGAUGUGGUAUUUUAGGAAGCCUCCGACGCAAGCGCUGAAGGGUUCCUAAAUUUACACAUACACCCUCGGGUGGAAGGAAAGAUCACAGCCGAACCCUCGGGCGAGGCGGAUAAGGGUCGGCGGAACAGACAGGGUCGGGCGAGACGGAACCGGGGUCGGGCGGAUAGGAGGGGUCGGGCGAGGCGGACUGGGGUCGGCAACUCACCUUCUUCCUGAAAGGAAAGCUUGGGGUCAGGAAGAAGCAGACUUGGGCGGAGGGACUAAAGCUUCGAACAAGGGCUAAGACUGGGAAUGCUACGGCGGAGGCGGUGCUUCUUGCAGAUCACAAGAGAGCUUUUACGCAGCAUGGAGGAGCAAGCUGCGGGGUGACUUGGAGAAAACUGAGAGAGAAUCUGAGAGAAGAACUCCUCAAGAACUUGGUGGGUGGCGCUAGGAGCUUGAGCAGGGAGCGAGAGAAUGGCUAAGGCAACAAUGGCGGAGGGAACUCCGGCGAUGGGGGCAUUCCUUUUAUAGCUGCUGGAACGGGGAAAGGAAGCGACACGGGAGAGAGAGAAGGGGAGCAGCGCGAAGGCCGGGGAGAGGCAAUGGAGUGCUCUGCCGGGGCGGCGAUUGAGCGAAGAGGGCGGUGGUGCAGGGCUCCGGGGGUGACGCCAGCGAUCAUUGGGUUCUGCCGUCAGGGCGGCGUAAGGGCGGGUAGACCGGUGGUUGAGAUUUGGCGGAAAGCGGGCGUCGCCGUGCGGAACAUUUGAUAGAAGCGACCGGUUUAACGGUGCUAGAAUCGAGGGCGCACAGGUGAGAAGACAGGCAGCUGCGGGCGCGCGGGCGAGCGCGGAGCAACAGAUUGUCGGGCGGCUUCUGAUAGGGCGGGGAAAGGAGCUGUCGCGGCCGCGGUCGGGGUUGGCGGUGGAGGAAUCGUCGUGUAGCGGAGACCAGGCGGCGCGACUGUGGCUGAAGGGACGGAAAAGACGGGCGACAUCGGGCUCUGGGCCGGGAUCUGGCGGCGUGAUGAUGGGCGCGGGAGGCGAGGCUCUGCAGAAAGGGGUGCAGAGGGGCUUCCGCUGCCAUUGGGGAAAAGGGCGCGAGAACCCACUUGGUCGCUUGCCAGAGACAAAACUGAGCGGCAGGCGUCGGAGAAGACGAGCCACGCGGCAGGGAGACUCUGAAGCGGGCAUGCAACUCGAGUGCGCCUGUCGUGGAGGAUCUGGGGAAAAGAUCUCGCGGGUCCACCGGUGGAUAGAACGGACGUUUGAGGAGGAUUAGAAGGAUCCGACGGUGGGCUGAGCUCGCCGGGGUCGGGAGAAAAGCGAAGCACGGAGGGGUCGGAUCUCCGGGGUCGGAACCAGGCGGAAGGCCGAGCACUCGGCGCGGUAAAACAAGACAGAUGACUCUGAUCAAGGGCUCUGAUCAAGACUAACUGGGAAGGUUUAGGGGUCGGUCGUUACAUAGCCACAUCAUCAAGAAGGCCGUAUAUUCUCUAUCUUGAAUUGUCCCGAUCCUCUUUUUCAUGUUGAUGAACCCUUUCCACCUGCCGAUUCCUUUUGUUUCCAGCCGAUGGGUCGGCUUGACCAGAUAAUUGAAAGGAGUAUCGGGGGAAGAGAUGUCAAGACCGGUCAACAUCACAACAUCGGCCAGAGUUGGGGUCAUGGGUCCGUGCCCGAAAAGAAAUGCGUUGAGAGAGUCAAACCAGAAGUAGGAGUCUGCUAUCACCAAGGGUUCGUUUCUCUCCAUCUGGGACAAGGAAAGGUUGAUGCACUAGCUGAUUUUCUUUUCAUCCCAUUGAACUCUCUUGGAGUUGGCCAUUCUUUGGUACCACUCUUUCCAGCCGGGGUUUUCAUUCGGCCAAGAUCUAAAGGUGCCCAACCACUAGUCCAAAUCCAUGGGUGAUUGUUUAAAUGGAAUCCUCUGGGUCUCUAAAUUAAUCAUAUCGGUUGGGUCCGGGUUCCCCAUAGGUCCUAAACAGAUGAGACCAGGAGCUUUGGAAAGGCAAAUAGUAAUUUGGUGUCUGACUGCCUAAAAAAGGAAAAAAAGGGAAGAACUAAGAACGGAUCUAAAAAGAUGCAUGGACGGUAAAAGUAAAAAGGAAAAAGUUCCGAAUGAGUACCUCUGGAAUGAAAGUCAUCGUUGCCGAUGGGGCUGCUGGUGGAGCUGCGACCACUGAUGAAGCCGCUGGUGGAGCCUCUAUCGCCGAUGGAGCUGUUGCCGCCGCUGAUGGAGCUGCCGGUGGAGCCUCCGUUGCUAGUGGAGUUGCUGAUGGUGCUGCCAUUGGGGCGAUGAAGCGGAAUGCAGAUGAAAGGGGGAUCACCGGAGAAUGCGGUUGGAAGCCAAAAGGGCGCCAGAAGAAGAUGGAAACUAGUGUGCCAGGAAGGAAGUUACUGGCUUGUGAAGAAGAAGUGCAAGGCAUGCCAGUAUUUAAAGGUGGUCCGAGGGGGGUAAAGGCUGGAUUUUUAUUGCGCCGUCUACAUGAAUUUCGGGGGGAGCGGUUGUCUCAAGCACCUGUUUCGAAAGGAUUGCAAUCAUCAUGUAGAAGACUGCGAAAUAGAAGGAGUUUUUUGCCGCGUUUAUUUCGGAGGAGAGGUUAAAAAAGAAUUUCGAAGUAAAAGUCAUGUUUUAUUCCGAAACUGGGGGGCAUGUGUUGACGCUAGAUUUUAACACGUAUGGGAUCGGCGUCAAGAGAAGAAAGGAUUGGCUGAUGUGAUGGAUUAAAAGGUUAUGAUUGGGAAUCGGCCAAUUGGUGCUACAGUAGAGAAUCGGCCGAUUGGCGCUACAGUGUUUUGGUGGAUGGAGAUCGGCUGAUUGGAGGGCUGGAGCGAUUGGGCCAAUGUGGGCUUAAAGUGGCUCCGAGAAAGGAAAGAGAGAAAGAUUGGCCCGUGGGAGUACAAUAACCAACUCCGAUACGAGUUGCGUUUCUAAAUAUUCAUUUUCAUUUAAAAUUAGAGAUAGAUCCUAGUCGGUUAGGAAAUUGGUUGUAACAGGCUAUAAAUAGUCAUCUUUAGAGAUUUGUAAACACACAUCAAUCAAUACAACAAUCUACUUUUUCAUCGUACUUUACUUUUAAGUCGGUGACUUCACCAAUACAUCUUUUUCUUUCACGAGUUCGUACGGGUUGGCAGGGCUGCAUAGACACGAUCUCGGCUGAUUCUGUAAGUUCCGUCUAUCGAGUAAUAUCUAAGCUUUAUUGGAGGUAUGCCCUAGAGGCAAUCAUAGAGAUGAUGAUAUUCCAUUUGUAUCCAUGAUGUAUGUUGUGUUCAUUGAAUAUCCAUUGAAGGCUACUAGAAUUGAUUUGCAAUUAUGUGAAUUGUGUGUGAAACUCUUUACUUGUAUGGGUAUUCUAAAGUUGUCCCUAGUCGGAGUUCAUGUGAGGACACAUAUGAAUAUUAGACUAGCACAUGUAUUAGUUGAUGACUAUGUUUCACAAGUCAUGGACAUGGAGAUGUUGAACUAAUAAUGUGGGCACAUGUGGAGACAUGUGCUAGGACUGACCCAACACGAGAAGUAGUUCUCUCUUUAUACAACAUAUAUGCUUUGUCCUUAGACCUGAGAUUGUCGCAUGUAAUCAAGAUGUGGAUCGACUUACAUAGGGGCUAUCAAAUGCUACGCCGUAACAGGGUAGUUAUAAAGGUAGCUUUCGGGUUUGUCAAGAAGCAUGCUAUGAGACAUGGUCAAUCAAGAUGGGAUUUUCCCCUCUCUGAUUGAGAGUGAUAUCUCUGGGCCCCUUGUGAUCGGAUCCGAAAAUGCAUGGCCAUGUACGUACGGUUAAGAGUUAACCUACAAAGGAAUUCUGAAUCACAGGAUCGAGAAAGAGCGGUCGGCUUGAAGCUAGACCAAAUAUCGUGAGGCAAAGGGAAUAGCAUGUAUAUAAUGUUGUGAUGGUUCGUCUGAUAUGAUCUUCGUGUGCAUAUAGGAGUUGGCACGUCUUGCUAGAGACCGCUACCGACUAUUGGGCCGAGUAGGAGUACUCGGGCCAUGUCUAUACGUAUCCGAACCCAUAGGGUCACACACUUAAGGGGCUGGAAGCCCAAUUCGGAUGUGAUCCGAGUUGGAUUAGGUUUAGAAGUACUAAUGGGCCUCGGACCCAGAGGCCCGUUAGGAACCUCUAUAAAUAGAGGGGUGGGGUCGCCCUAGGUUUUACACCUUUUGGUGAAACACAUCUGCCGCGCCUCCCACGCCGUCGCCUGUUGCAACUCACGGAUCUAGCAGUCCGGGUUGCGACGCUUCCUCCCUGCACGUGUGGAUACCUUGGAGGUGUUGCGCCUGCAGCACUUGGACGAGCCACCGACGAGCCAUGACAAGCCGCCGACGAGCCACAACGAGCCGUCGACAAGCCACGACGAGCCGCCGCCGAGCCGCGGCACGAGGGUGAUCUUGCUGCACGUGGACGAGCUGCUGAGGAGCUGCUGGACAUCGACGUGAUUGACUACGUACGACUACGUUGAUUAACUUCGCUGCAUCGACGCGAAUCUAUAUCUUCCGCACCAGUAGUGCGUCGAGUGGUAAUCCCGUGAUCCUUAUACAGCAGUUUUCCUGGUUUACGCGGUAGAAAUUUUAAUUUGCGCUAGUGUAGCCUACCUUAUAUCCAAACAGUGGUAUCAGAGCCGUAGCUGUUUAGUUUUGGAUUCGGGAUGUGUGCAUAUGGAGAUAUGCGAGUUUUCAGUUUGAUCUAUGUCCUGGUUUCGUGUUCUUGCUGCAAUGGUAGUGUAACGACAUACUCCUAAUGGUAGUGAUACACAUAAUUCCAGUUGCAGUGAGCGAAGAUCAAUGUGAUUGGUCGAAUCGAAAUCCAGGUUCAUACGGUAGGCGCAUGAGAUGUGCAAUAGUAGAUGGGAUCUACUACCGGGGUCGGCAUUUUGCCGUGUGCGUAUGCUUCGGUAAAUCAGUUGUAACUUUUCGGUACGAUCUCGGAUCAUGGCGAAUUUUAUAUGAAAAUUGAUCUAUAGAAAAAGUUACACAUGAAAUUCAAUGGUAAUGCCAUUUUUGGCGAAAUUAGAUUUCCCAAAUUCGGCUUGGAAGAUGGAGUUUCGGGCCUCCGAAGUUUGGAACGUUAGGACGCUUAACUCUGUUUUGCAGGAUGUAUGUAUCUUGUGAUCAGUAUGACCCCUUUGUGUAUGUGAUGCAUGUGUGUAACUCAUUCGUGACCUGCGUGUCAUGCGUACGGCAACACGGCAGGAGCCAUAUGUGUUGUCACUUUAAUGUAUUUAAUGGUCUGCGUACCAAUCUGUGAUGAUCCAAGCAACUAUGUAAUCUUCAUUACUAGCUUUUUACUAGCUAUUAGGCAUAAUAGCAUGUUCUAAUUCUUGGAGGACUCAUCACCAGGAGGAUGGUGCACAUGGAACAUGGAGAUGGAGAUCACCAUGGUGAACAGGUUCUAUGGAGAUGGAGAUCACUAUAAGAAAACGGGCCAUAUUGUGUCACAACUAUGUGAAUGCUAUUCUGUUUAUGUUUUACUUUCUGCAUGCUGUGAUGUUAGAAGUAGAACGAUCCCUCACAAAGUUUAAGUUAGUAUGCCCUCCCAACUAACACUUGCACCGUCCCAUGUCUUGUACAUUUAGUGGUGGGUCUAUGAAAUUAGGAUGCCACUAGUUUUCCUUGACUAGACGGGUUUGCGUCGGACACUUACAUGCAUAAGGGUUGGUUUGCUUAACAAGGUUAUCUUAACGGUUAAGGACCUUGGGGCAUAAGGUUGGGUGCCGAGACAUGGAGAUGUCACCCAACAACAGGAGUCAUAUGUGAUAUGAUUAGCAAAAGUUGCUUACCGAUCUACCUUGUUUGCUAGCGGUGAUGCUAAAGCUCACUAGUAGACUUGUUAGUUGUGGAUCCUGAAUCACUAAGUAUCAAUAGAGGGAUAUUGAUUUUAGUGGGAGUAGAUUCUGUUAAAAUAGUUUAAUGUGAUUUGCUCUAUCAUGGAUACGUUUGUCUUAGUGUAUUUUGCAUUACUUUUGUUGUAGAUUAAAUGGCACCAAGCAGCACUACACCGUUUGCUUUGCGUUCGGUCCUUGAGAAGGACAAGUUGAAUGGAACAAAUUACUCGGAUUAGAUCCGUAACCUAAGAAUUGUUCUUAGGGCUGAGAAAAAGGAAGAUGUUCUAGACAACCCACUACCAGAAGAACCUGCUAAUGAUGCACCUGCUGCUGCUAAGAAUGCUUACAAGAAAGCAUGUGAUGCUAACCUCGAAGUAAGCUGCCCUUUGCUUGCUUGCAUGGAACCCGAGCUGUAGAUGCAGUUCGAAACAAACCAUGAGGUGCACGAUAUGAUCAUGGCGCUUAGAGACAUGUUCCAAACACAGGCCAGGACUGAAAGGUUCAAUGUGUCUAAGGCCUUUGUGGAGAGCAAGCUAGCAGAAGGCGCAGCAGUAGGACCACACAUAAUCAAGAUGGUUGGUUACACUCAACGGUUGGAGAAGCUGGGGGCUUCCCACUGGGCCAAGUUGGCCACUGAUUUCAUUCUUUCGUCUCUUCCGCCUAGCUAUGGGAACUUCAUCUCGAACUACCAUAUGCAUGGGACGGAGAAGGGUCUGAAUGAGCUGUGUGACAUGCUUAAAAUAGCAGAGGCUGACAUCAAGAAAAGCGCUAGUAGCAGCCAUGUGAUGGCUAUACAGAACAAGCCUAGCUUUAAGAAGAAGGGCAAUUCUUGGAAGAAGAAGGGCAAGGCUGGAACGUCCAAGCCAAACCCAGCGCCCAAGGUUAAAGCUAGACCUGGACCUGCUCCAGACAAAGAGUGCUUUUACUGUCAUGAUUUUGGUCACUAGAAGAGAAAUUGCAAGCAGUACCUAGCUUCGUUGAAGAAUGGCGGAAGUAAGAGUACUUCCACCUCAGGUACGCUUGUUAUUAAUGUUAUAGACAACAUAUUUCUUGCUGAUACAAUUAUUAAUUCUUGGGUAUUUGAUACCAGAUCGGUUGCUCAUAUUUGCAAUUCGAUGCAGGGAAUGAUAAGAAGUAGAAGCGUGGAAAGAGGAGAAGUUGAUUUCCGCGUGGGCAAUAAUGCAAGAGUUGCUGCAUUGACCGUCGGGACGAUGCAACUCCACCUCCCGUCAGGAUUUAUUAUGGAGUUGAAUAAUUGUUAUUUCGUUCCUAGUUUAAGUCGAAACAUUUUGUCUCCUUCAUGCUUGAUGAAGGAUGGUUAUUUAUUUGCGAGUGAAAACAAUGGUUGUGUGAUCUUUAAGAAUGAUAUGUUUAUGGCUUUUGCACCCAUUGUGAAUGGAUUAUUUGUUUUAAAUCUUGAUGGUUCACCUGUUUGUAACGUAAGUGCUAAAAGGCCUCGGCCUAAUGAUUUGAGUCCUACCUACUUGUGACAUUGUCGUUUGGGUCAUAUAAGUGAAAAGCACAUGAAGAAGCUCCAUUCUGAUGGACUUCUAACUUCGUUUGAUUUAGAAUCAUACGAGACAUGUGUGAGGCUUGCUUGCUAGGCAAGAUGACCAAGACGCCUUUCACAGGAUUUCCUAAGAGAGCAGUAGACUUGUUGGAACUCGUACAUAGUGAUGUAUGCGGACCAAUGAGCACGACAGCUAGAGGAGGAUUCCAAUACUUCAUAACUUUCACUGAUGAUUUUAGUAGAUAUGGCUAUGUCUACUUGAUGAGGCACAAGUCUGAAACCUUUGAAAAGUUCAAGGAAUUUCAGAAUGAAGUUGAAAAUCAGCGUGGCAAGAAAAUUAAGGCCUUACGAUCUGAUCGUGGAGGCGAGUAUUUGAGCCACGAGUUUAGCAAUCAUCUAAAGAGUUGCGGAAUUAUUCCACAACUUACUCCGCCUGGAACACCUCAGAGAAACGGUGUGUCUGAGCGACGUAAUCGUACUUUGUUAGACAUGGUUUGAUCAAUGAUGAGCCAGUCUGACCUACCGUUGUCAUUUUGGGGAUACGCUCUAGAAACAGCAGCUUUCACACUUAAUAGGGUACCAUCUAAAUCCGUAGUUAAGACACCAUAUGAGAUGUGGACUGGAAAGGUUCCCAGUUUGUCUUUUCUAAAGAUUUGGGGAUGUAAAGUGUUUGUCAAGCGACUUUAGUCGAACAAGAUCACACCCAAGUCGGAUAAGUGCAUUUUCAUGGGAUAUCCAUGCAAUCCGAAAUAGAGUCCAUGGGAGACAAUCAAGUUUGGAACUUGGUUGACCCGCCUGAUGGUGUUAAAGCCAUAGAGUGCAAGUAGAUCUAUAAGAAGAAAAAGGACAUGGAUGGAAAUGUUCACAUCUAUAACGCACGACUUGUCGCAAAAGGUUUUCGACAAGUUCAAGGAGUUGACUACGAUGAGACUUUCUCGCCCGUAGUGAUGCUUAAGUCCAUUCGGAUUACUCUAGCUAUAGCUGCAUAUUUCGAUUAAUGAGAUAUGACAGAUGGAUGUCAAGACAGCUUUCCUAAAUGGAAACCUAGCUGAGGAUGUGUAUAUGAUACAGCCUAAGGGUUUUGUCGAUCCAAAAAAUGCUGGAAAGGUAUGCAAGCUUCAAAGAUCCAUUUAUGGAUUGAAGCAAGCAUCUAGGAGUUGGAACAUUCGUUUUGAUGAAGUGGUCAAAGGGUUUGACUUCACCAAGAACGAAGAAGAGUCUUGUGUUUACAAGAAGGUUAGUGGGAGCUCUGUAGUAUUUCUAAUCUUAUAUGUGGAUGACAUAUUGCUGAUUGGAAAUAACAUUCGUAUGCUUGAGUCUGUAAAGACUUCACUGAAAAAUAGUUUUUCGAUGAAGGACUUAGGGGAAGCGGCAUAUAUUCUGGGCAUUAAGAUCUAUAGAGAUAGAUCAAGAAGGCUUAUAGGAUUAAGUCAAGAUACUUACAUUGAAAAAGUGUUGAAGCGGUUCAGCAUGGAAGAGGCAAAGAAAGGGUUCUUGCCUAUGUCACAUGGCAUACAUCUUAGCAAGACUCAGUGUCCUUCGACUGCUGAUGAGCGGGAUCGCAUGAGUAGAGUGUUAUAUGCCUCGGCUAUUGGAUCUAUCAUGUAUGCAAUGAUAAGUACUUGCCCAGAUGUUUCAUAUGCGCUAAGUGUGACAAGCAGACACCAGUCUGAUCCAGGUGAGAGUCACUGGACAGCGGUGAAAAACAUUGUUAAGUACUUGAGAAGGACUAAAGAUAUGUUCCUCAUCUAUGGAGGUGAGGAGGAGCUCGUUGUAAUAGGUUACUCCGAUGCUAGUUUCCAAACCGAUAGAGACGAUUCAAAGCCACAAUCAGGAUUUGUGUUCACGCUAAAUGGUGGUGCUGUUAGUUGGAAGAGUUCCAAGUAGGAGAUGGUGGCCGAUUCUACGACAAAAGCCAAGUACAUCGCGGCUUCGGAAGCCGCGAAGGAGGGUGUUUGGAUAAGGAAUUUCCUCAUUGAGCUUGGUGUGUUCCCGAAUGCGUCCAGCCCAUUGAAUCUCUACUGUGAUAACAAUGGGGCAAUUGCGCAAGCAAAGGAGCCAAGGAACCACCAGAAGAACAAACACGUAAUGCGGCGAUUUCAUCUCUUUCGAGACUUCGUUAACUGGGGUUAGAUCAAGAUAUGCAAAAUACACACGGAUCUGAACAUUUCUGAUCCGUUGACAAAACCACUCCCGCAGGCUAAGCAUGAUGCGCAUGUAAGAGCUAUGGGUAUUAGGUACCUUCUAGAUUGACUCUAGUGCAAGUGGGAGACUAUUGGAGGUAUGCCCUAGAGGCAAUCAUAGAGAUGAUGAUAUUCCAUUUGUAUCCAUGAUUUAUAUUGUGUUCCUUGAAUAUCCAUUAAAGGCUACUUGAAUUGAUUUGCAAUUAUGUGAAUUGUGUGUGAAACUCUUUACUUGUAUGGGUAUUCUAAAGUUGUCCCUAUUCGGAGUUCAUGUGAGGACACAUAUGAAUAUUAGACUAGCACAUGUAUUAGUUGAUGACUAUGUUUCACAAGUCAUGGACAUGGAGAUGUUGAACUAAUAAUGUGGGCACAUGUGGAGACAUGUGCUAGGACUGACCCAACACGAGAAGUAGUUCUCUCUUUAUACAACAUAUACGCUUUGUCCUUAGACCUGAGAUUGUCGCAUGUAGUCAAGAUGUGGAUCGACUUACAUAGGGGCUAUCAAAUGCUACGCCGUAACAGGGUAGUUAUAAAGGUAGCUUUCGGGUUUGUCAAGAAGCAUGCUAUGAGACAUGGUCAAUCAAGAUGGGAUUUUCCCCUCUCUGAUUGAGAGUGAUAUCUCUGGGCCCCUUGUGAUCGGAUCCGAAAAUGCAUGGCCAUGCUACGUACGGUUAAGAGUUAACCUACAAAGGAAUUCCGAAUCACAGGAUCGAGAAAGAGCGGUCGGCUUGAAGUUAGACCAAAUAUCGUGAGGCAAAGGGAAUAUCAUGUAUAUAAUGUUGUGAUGGUUCGUCUGAUAUGAUCUUCGUGUGCAUAUAGGAGUUGGCACGUCUUGCUAGAGGCCGCUACCGACUAUUGGACCGAGUAGGAGUACUCGAGCCAUGUCUAUACGUAUCCGAACCCAUAGGGUCACACACUUAAGGGGCUGGAAGCCCAAUUCGGAUGUGAUCCGAGUUGGAUUAGGUUUACAAGUACUAAUGGGCCUCGGACCUAGAGGCCCGUUAGGAACCUCUAUAAAUAGAGGGGUGGGGGCGUCCUAGGGUUUACACCUUUUGGUGAAACACAUCUGCCGCGCCUCCCACACCCUCGCCUGUUGCAACUCACGGAUCUAGCAGUCCAGCUUGCGACCCUUCCUCCCUGCACGUGUGGAUACCUGGGAGGUGUUGCGCCUGCAGCACUUGGACGAGCUGCCAACGAGCCAUGACGAGCCGCCGACGAGCCACAACGAGCCGCCGACAAGCCACGACGAGCCGCCGCCGAGCCGCGGCACGAGGGUGAUCUUGCUGCACGUGGACGAGCUGCUGAGGAGCUGCUGGACAUCGACGUGAUCGACUACGUACGACUACGUUGAUUAACUUUGCUGCAUCGACGCGAAUCUACAUCUUCCGCACCAGUAGUGCGUCGAGUGGUAAUCCCGUGAUCCUUAUACGGCAGUUUUCCUGGUUUACGCGGUAGAAAUUUUGAUUUGCGCUAGUGUAGCCUACCUUGUAUCCCAACAAGCUUUAACUUCGGGUGCAUCGCUGUCGUUUCAUUUAGAUUUAUUCACCAGUUAUCGAUAUUUACUAGAAUUAUAAGUUUUAUAUACUGUUCUAGUUUUAUCACCAGUUAUCCAGCUUGAGAUUUGAACUAUCGACUCUAUUGUUGUUAUUUUUCAUUCAUCAUUAUCGCAUGGCUGAUUAGAUCUAUUUCGAGUGUUGCUUUUGUAGCUUUAUCUAGUUUACUCUACUAGUUUUCUUUGUGAUCGCUACAUGAUUGUCGGCUGUAUCAUAGCCAAUUAUCUUUAUAUAGCAAAUCGGCCAAUUUGCUGAUACGCUUUUCGAGAUCAGAACCUUAGCCGAUCGAAGCCCCUGGAAUUUGACAUGUUUUCUUCCUUGCCAAUCAACAGGUUAGAUUGGCUAGCACGCUGCGCGAACCGCACCAGGAAGAUUAUCCGAACAGGAGCUAAGCAGAUUCUCCCGGGUCGUGUGUCCGACGCUGAAGGUCAAUCAGCUGAUUUUUAGCGCCAACAGACGUAAGCCUAGAUAGCACUGGUGUCUUCCUAAGGUUUGUUUUACCAUAAAAAUAAUUCCUUAUCCUUGACCUCUGUGAUGACUAUUCUCGCUCCUUAUACAUUUUAUCUACGCCUUGAUUGCUUAUUUUUGAACAACCUUAGCUCCUGAUUGUUUACCCCCACCUUGUUUUGCUAUCGCUAAACCCUCAAUCCUUGUCUAUUGACUCAUUCUCUCCUUGAAAAAAAAAUUAUUUUUGCUACUCGCACCUUCAAUUACCUUUCUUGUUUUUGCUAAAACCUUAACCCUUGUCUGUUUAUUCUUUCUCGUUGAUGCCUUUUUGAUCUUCAUCAUACGUCUCGUUUGAUGAAUUUCCCUAUCUGGAUGCAUAUCAUCUCCUUAAUUUAAUUGUGAUAUUGUUACCCCCUCAUCCUUGCUCAUUUAUCUCCUUGGUAUUUUCCUUGUCGACCUAUUUAUCCUUGUAAACCAAUCUCCUCCUUGAUUUUAAUUUGAAUAUAUCCAUCUUUUCCCGUUGUACCUCUCCUUGCUUUUCAAAUACCUUGGAAUCUUUCCCUUGAAUUUUGAUUCCAAAGUAUCUUUUCUAAUUUAAAAAAAAUGUUUGGAUGAUCCACGCCUCCUAUUCUAAAGCCUGUUUAAGUCAUCUGAAGAAUGAAGCUAUCGGUUUAUCACAAGAAGUCAAACCUCAACGACUGAAGAAGUAAUCCCUUCAUAGGAGUACCCCUUUACAGCUUUACUAACAACGAUUAGCAUCGUUCCUUGCCUGUGUUGAUUGGUGAAGUUCUGUGUGUUGCUUGAUGAUGCUUGUCUUUAUGACCUUGAUUGAGUUGGUUCUUUGUAUUGAUUGUUGGUGUAUUGUGGGUCUUCUACCUACAAUGACAUUAGUUUUCUAGCUGGGUUCUUCUUUUGACCUCCCACCUCAUUGUUAUCCUCCUUUCUUUCUACUCAAUCCAAUGAAGAAGGUCGAAAGAAGGAAACUGAAGGCAACACCAACACAUCAACAAGCAGAUGUUAACAUCACCACCACCAUCUCGAUGGAAGCAAGUUGAAGAUUUGAAGGCUUUACUUUGAUCUCCCUAAUCUUACUCCAAUGAAGAUUUCAAGAAUCAAGAAGAUGAAGAAAGCAGAAAUUCUACUCGCAACAAGCAAGGAUGAAAGACUAUCCACUCUACUAGAAGAAUCUUGUUGUCUACCUCCUCUUCAUUUCUUUAUCUCUCUUUUCAAAUAUGUAUGUGCUUCCCACCUCCUUGUUACCUUUAUUUCUAUCUAUCAACUCUGAUGGACAUCAAGAAAGCAAGUAAAGGCAACAUCAAUGUCAACAAGCAGAUGUUAUCGCCAUCACAACCGUCGAAAUAGAAGCAAGUCGAAGAAAAGAAGUUCCUACUCUAGUUUCUUUGCUAUCCUGUUGCUUUCUAUCCUCCCAUCUAUCUCACUCUGAAGACAAUUCAAGAACAGAUGAGGAUAUCAUCAAGUACUCUAUCCUGUUCUGCAAUUUUAUCCAUUUCUAUUCUCUAUUCUAAUCUUAUCUUUAUCACCCAACCAGAUGGCGAGUCCUAGUGGAAAUCAUGAAGAUAGCGCCAAUGAAGGUGACCUCAACAUUCCACCCGAAGCCUCAUCGUUUGAAUGCAAGAUGUUAGAGUAUAUGGCAACACAAAAUCGGACUUUACAAGCAGUGGCUCAAAGCUUGGUCACUACCCAUCAAUAUAUCACAGAGCAAGCCUCACUUACUCGAAACAACAACUCUAUCACCAGUGGUGACAAUCAAGUUUAGCCUGUUCCACCACCGUUUGACAAAGGGAAGCUAUUAGCCAUGCAAGCUCAAGACUUACAAGGAAUGAUGCAGACUAACAUGGAGACGAUGAAGGCUGGAAUUCCCACUGAACCAGUGAAGAGGCAAGUUGCUGAAGCAGGGAACCGUCAAAGGAACAAGACAAGCCAUGAAGCGCCAGAGCCAGAAAUGGAGAGACAACAUGAGGAUGUUAAGAUUCCAGGAAAAUGUCAAUGUUGUGAACACCAUGGACUUCCAUGUCUCCAAGAAGAAGAUAGUCUAAUGACAGUUGAAGCCAGACAAUGUUAUUAUUUAGACAUUAAUAAGAAGAGAAAGUUGUAUUCCCAAGGACCGAUGCUAGAGGAAGUUACUCAAGAUGAAGAUAGUACUCAGACUAUGCACCUUGAGGGUUGGAGUAUCUCUUUCAAAGAAUUUCAGCCCAGUCGAAGUAGACAAGUCAAGAAGCCAACUAGUAAAACAAGCAAAGCGCAGGGAUCGAACCCACAACCUCAGACCACAAAGAGUGCAAGCAAUACCACAACUAGUAAAGCAAGUCAAGAAAAGGAUGAUCGACCCCAGGACCAAGGACCCAAUAGCCCCGCAUUCAGUCCGACAACAUCAGUUGGUCUCUUAAUCAAGACGAACGAUCGGAAUGCCUCAGUUAGGAAAGAAUGCCCUCACAUUCCGAUGCUCAAUUGUCAUACCACAUGCAGUUGCCAAGGUUUCAAAACAAGAAAAACAUGUUACUAUUGCAAAGAAGGACAUUUCAAAAAUCAGUGCCCUAAGAAGCGUCUGGACCAAAAGGAGAAGAAGACUAAAGGAUGUGUAUGAAGAGUUGAGUAUGAUUCAAGACAAACAAGUCAAAGAGAAGACAUCAAGCUCUAUUCAAAUCACUUUAUCAAGAUAUGAGUGAAGAAUCUUCAAAGAUGGAGUAAUGAAGGAAAAAAAGAAAUGGAUAGUUAAAAGAUGAAUUAGACUACAUAUCCCUGAAGUGUUUCUGUCUUUAUGUGAGUUGUGGAGAAUAAAGAAGUAUGAUUGAGAAGCUUAUGUAAGGAUGAACGAUCUGGAAGAAAAGCUAAUACGUGUUGGAUGCUACCCACCUAAACCUUUGUCUCUUGCUAGCCUUUGCGAAUCUUGGGACGAGAUUCUUGUUAAGGGGGGUACUGUUAUCACACCCUGAUAUUUGGAUGUGAUUAAAAAGAAAUAAUUAAACAACGAUUUUCUAUAAUUUAAAAUUUUUGCCAACAUUUAUUUUCUUUUCAGGAAAUUUAGUAUAGGAAAAAUAAUUAUUUGUUUUCAAAAUUAAAUAAGGUUGUUGUUCUCUGUCUCUGCAUUCAUGCUGAUGUAUUUUGGAGUUUUAUGAGUGAAAAAGUUUCAAAAAUACGUUUAGACGUUGUCCAAGUUCUUCUUUUCCUUGAGCCUAAUCCAAUUUUUUUUGGAUGGUUCUAAAAUCCUUUUCAUGAGCUCUAAAUAUUUUAUUUGGAUUUCUUGUGUCCCGAUCUAUCUCUGGGAUUUUUCCUAGAUUUUUUGGGAUUUUUAGACUAUUUUUCGUUGUUCAAAGUAUUUAUCUAGAAUUUUCUGGAUUUAUAUUCCCAUGUAAAAUAAUUUCUAAAAAAUAAUCUAAUCUUUCUUUUUUAAAUGGGCCGACCCGCGAACCCGGCCCGCCUCACACCAGCCCAGCAUGCUGCCAACCUUUUUCUUCUGCCGACCCGGCCCAGCUCUCGGCCCAGCUCCUCCUCUCUCAGGCCGGCCUCGCCUUCCUCUUCCACCGGCCUGGCCCACCACCUGUCCCUCUCUCCCCCUCACUGCCAGGCAGGCCCUGCCUGUCCCUCUCUCCCCCUCACUGCCAGGCAGGCCCUGCCUGUUCGAUCCACCUUCCUCCUCUAGCCGCGCCACCAGGCCAAGUUGCGCCGCCAUCCCAGUGUCCCUCCACCUCUCGGAGUCGCUCCGACUCUCCACGCCCCACGCCCCCUCAGCUUCCCGUGCCCGCUCGCCUCCCGCACGAGCGCCGCCUGCCCCUCCAUUUCCUCUCCCCCACCGGAAACCGUCGCCCCCACCGCCGGUUGCCAUUAAUGGUUGCCGCCGCCCUUUCCUGUCCACCAGCGCCCCCUCCGCUCCCCUGUCCCUUCGCCCUAUAAAACGAGCACCUAAGCCCCGGGAGUCCUUGCUGCUGCUCGCCUGCCACCUCGCUGCUUCGCCAAGCGCCGCCGCACCAAGCCUCCGAGCCGCCGCUGCUUACCCGCGCCCGCCGCCGCCUGUGUUGCCCCUGCGCUGAGCUGCCGGGCUACCUGCGCUGUUGUCCUGGCCGCCCGCUGCACCGGUGCGCCACCACUGCCGCAACUGUGCACGCUCUGCCCCCUUUGGCCCGGCCAGCAGCCGCCGCCGAUAAUCUGACCGGCCACACGAGCGGAGCAAGCAGGAAUUGGAGGUAGAAGUGUUGACGCCAGAUUUCGUCACUAGUAAAAUCGGCGCCAAGAAGAGAGGGAAUCGGAGAAGCACAGUUGGGAAUUGGUCGAGUGGUGCUACAGUGUGAGAUCGGCCAGUGACUUCUGUCUUGCUUCGGAUCGGACGUGCCGGGGUCCCAAUCGGUUGCCUUUUGCCGAUAAGGAUUCGGCCGAUUAGGAGGUUGGUUUAAUUGGGCCUGUAUGGGCUUGGAAAGGAAUAAAAGGAUAAGGGGGAGAUCAGCCCAUGAAGCAUAGAGUAACCAACCUAGCACGAAUCGUGCUUCUAAAUAUUCGUUUUUUGUUUGAAUUAGGGAUAGAAUUCUAGUCGGUUAAGAAGUCAUCUGUACGGGGCUAUAAAUAGCUACCUUUGUAAAUCUGUAAUCAUCAACAAAUCAAUACAACAAGCUACUUUUUCCUCGUACUUACUUUCAAGCAGGCGACUUCGCCAAUACUUUUCUCUCUUUCACGAGUUCGUGCGGGUUGGCAGGGCUGCAUCAGCUUGAUCUCCGGCCGAUUCUGUAAGUUCCGCUUAUCGAGUAAUAUCUAAGCUUUAACUUCGGGCGUAUCGCUGUUGUUUCGUUUAGAUUUAUUCACUAGUUAUCGAUAUUUGCUAGAAUCAUAGGUUUUACCUGUCUUUCUAGUUUUACCACCUGUUACCCAGCUAGGAAUCGGUAGUUUCGGCUCUCUUCACAUUCUGCUAUUAGAUUCAUCUAUUGCCGAUUAGACCUAUUCCUGGUGUUGUUAUCAUAGCUUUGUAUCGAUUACUCUAGUGGUUUUCUGUCUACAAGGCUACAGUGAUCGGCUGUUUUAUAGCCGAUUCCUUUAUUACGGCAAAUCGGCCGAUUCGCUGAUAAGCUCCCUCGAGAUCGGAAACUUAGCCGAUCGUGAUUUCCGGACCUGACACGCAUUCUUCCUUGCCAAUCAACAGGUCAGAUUGGCUGGCACGCCGCGCGAACCGCACCAGGGCAAUCACCUGAACAGGAGUUAAGCAGAUUCUCCCGGGUCGUGUGUCGAACGCUGGGAUUCGGUUGACCGAUUUCUAGCGCCAACACACUUUUGGCACGCCUGGUGGGACAAAUACAACCGCCAUCAUGUCGAAAGCUGCUGAAGUCUCCGAAGAUAACGUCAUUGAGGUGACGGAAGCAGAUUUGAAGGACGACCAGAAGGAAGAAUUGGAUAAGUAUACGGCGCAGUUCCGGAAAGCUUGCCUAAAGUCUUUCAGUCACUCCAGAAGCGGGGAGACUAUCAAGAAAAAUCCGUUCCCUGCUCCCCGCCAAAUCACAAUUUCUGAGGAUUUGGACAAAAUGUCCAAUAUGAUUCAACAGUCUAUUUAUCACGCCUUCGUUGAUCAGUCCCCAGUACUUUCAAAUAUGGUGCACAACGCCGUUGUCAACUCCUUCGCUGGUGGGAUACCUCAAGGAUACAGGGGACCGGCAUAUUUUCAGCCGAUUCCACCAAACUAGAAUCAUUCGAAUUCGGUUUCACAGCCGAUCCAAUUUUCUGUCGGGGUUUUAGGUGCUUCUUCGUCAUCAGCUCCUAUGGGGUAUAACUCCAUCCAACUGUCCUCUGCACCAUUCCCUCCAGUUAGCCCAUCACCCUGGGGGGCACCUUCAGCCACGGCCGGUCAGAAUCAAUCGGCCAGUCAAGGAAACCCUCCAUUCCAGGCAUCUUUCCAGGCGGCCAUUCGGCCGACCGUACCGCCAUACCAGCCUGUCGCUCCAGAGGUCAACAAGACAGCAGAGCUCAUGCUAUAUGAUGAAACGACUGGCUCAUUCAAACAACCGACCUUUACUACACAGCCAGCUUUCACUCAGAUACCACCUGCUUUCAAUCAGCCUCCGUUUGUUCCGCCUCCGGUUUACCAGCGCGUGCCAAUACCUCAGCCAACGGUUCACCAGCAACAGCCAGAUUGGUCGGCACGUAUUGCGGAGGUGAUGCAAGAAAAAUUCGGCUUGAAGCCGAAAGUACAAACUUAUACCUACAGGACACCAUACCCGUCUACAUAUGACCUAUUGCCGUUCCCCCAUCGGUAUAAAGUUCCUGACUUCACUAAAUUUUCGGGGAUGGAUGACACUUCGACCGUAGAGCACGUGAACAGAUUCAUCAUCCAAUGCGGAGAGGCAGCCACGCAGGAUGCCCUACGGGUACGGUUGUUCUCAUCAUCCUUGUCUGGUUCGGCCUUUCAAUGGUUCACGACAUUGCCGCCAAACUCGAUUAUCACAUGGGCCGAUUUAGAAAGACAGUUCCACAAAUACUUCUACGCCGGGGUGCAUGAGAUGAAGCUGUCCGAUUUGACCAGCCUCAGGCAAAGAAGUGACGAGCCGAUAUCCUCGUAUAUACAGAGGUUUCGGGAAAUCAGGAACAAGUGCUACUCCCUGGCUCUAAACGACGCGCAGUUGGCCGAUAUAGCUUUUCAAGGCCUUCUGCCCCACAUCAAAGAAAGAUAUGCCUCACAGGAGUUCGAGAGUUUGAGCCAGAUUGUCCACCGAUUGUCUGGACAGGAGGUACGUGCCUUCGAUCCACGGAGGAAUUUCCAGAAGAAAGUGGCGUUCCUGGAAGAAUUAGAGGACGAAGAAGACGUUGAAGUCGGACUUGCGGAGUGGAUCAAGGGAAAGAAGCCGAUAUCAUGCCCUUUCGGAAAAAAGGAACCGGAAGUGUUCGGCUUUGACACAACUAAGGCCGAUAAGAUCUUCGACCUUCUCCUCCAGGAAGGACAGAUUAAACUCUCGCCAUAUCAUACAAUACCUUCUGCCGAACAACUAAAAAAGAUGAAGUACUGCAAGUGGCACAACGCCACAUCCCAUGAUACUAAUGAGUGCAAAAUCUUCAGGCAGCAGAUACAGUCGGCCAUUGAGCAGGGCAGACUUAAAUUUGAAGUGCUGACAAAAUUGGCCAAGCCAAUGAAGAUCGACCAACACCCCUUCCCCACCAACAUGGUUGAUACGGGAAAGAAUUCACUACAAACAAAAGUGCUGACGUCCGAAUCGGCUAAAAAGAGUGGCGUCGUCGACCCCAGAAAUCAAGUUACGCCUGAAGACGUCAAAGGGAAGCGGCGGAUGGAGGAUGACGAUGGCGAAUCAGAAGAGCCACGCAUUACUUCCCAGUUCCUGCUCCAGAAGUACCAACGUCAGCAUGAACGCUCAAGGUCCCGGGAAGAAGCGAUGCGACGGCACGAAGAUCAUUGGAGGUGCCCGUUCUUCAUCCACUGUUGGGAAAACAACCUCAGGCUACCUUCGGCCAAUAAUUGCCCAGAAUGCAAUGGUCCAUAUCGUGGCAAUCGGCCGUUCAACAGGUCUCGCUCCAGAGACGGAAGGCCAGAACCGAUCAGCAGGAAUUGGCGCAACCAAGAUGACCAACGCCCUCCCGUGCGUGAUCGGUUGGGGGGCAGAAGUGACCGAUAUGAUUGGUCGGAAGAUAGACGCCAUGAUAGGCAGGGGGGCAGGACUGAUCGGCAUGACCGGUCAGAAAACAAGGCCAACAUUCACAGCCGGCUCGAAGAGAUGGCCGAUGCUCGGGUGACAGACGAAAACCCGUUAGGACGCGAACCGGAGUGGGAAUGCGCCAAGUCAGGUGGCAGACCAAUAAACCCUAGGUGGUGUCCCGAUGGAUUGACCAAGUCCCAAAAACGAAGAAUCCAACGUCUCCGCCAAUAGGAACAGCAAGAAGAGGAAAGCACGACGGACAAGAAGGAAGGAAGGCCUCGGGUGUGGCGCCCCAAAAGAAACGAUGAAGGAGACGACGAAUCGGCGGGUGGCGAAUCGGCAGCCGAGAUCGGCAUGGUUUUCAUACUGCCGAUGGAAUUCAUGACUCCCGCCGAUCAGCAGGAUAUAUCAGCGAUAGAAGACCAAACGGCACAGUUGGCUUUGGAGCCAAUGAUGGCCAUGUUCGAGAAGCCCGAAGAUGACGAACGACAACACAUGAAGGCACUGUUCCUUAAAGGGCAUGUCGACGGCCGCCCCCUCACUAGACUGAUGGUAGACGGAGGAGCUGCAGUCAACAUCAUGCCGUACGCCGUGCUCCGGAAGCUUGGGAAAAGCGACGACGACUUGACCAAGACAGACAUGAUGCUCAAGGACUUCGAGGGCAACGUGUCAAACGCUCGCGGCGCUCUCUGCGUCGACCUCACCAUCGGCAGUAAGACCCUUCCUACCACCUUCUUUAUUAUUAAUGGGAAGGGAUCCUACAACAUGCUACUCGGCCGGGACUGGAUACAUGCAAACUGCUGCAUCCCGUCAACAAUGCAUCAAUGCCUCGUGCAAUGGGUCGGCGAUAACAUCGAGGUGGUCAACGCCGAUUCCGCGUACAGCAUCGCGGCAGCCGACACGCAGCAGUGGAGCUGCGAAACCGUCAGGUGCAUAUCCGGCAGAGUAUGGGAGACUGAUUUCCUGAAGGUCACCGAUUUUGGCCUACAGCCGAUCCGAGCAGUCGGCUCCGAAGACUCAGAGUAGAUGGAUCAGUUCGCCCGAGAAGAUGGGAAGCUAGGGCACGGGUUCACGUCGGCCGAUUCAUUAGAAAUGGUAGACUUAGGCGAUGGUACCAAACCAAGGCCGACUUAUAUUAGUGCAAAUUUAGACCCAGAAUACAAAUGUAAAUUGACAAAUUUGUUAAAAGAAUUUAAGGAUUGUUUUGCUUGGGAGUAUCACGAGAUGCCCGAUUUGGACCGAUCUAUUGUUGAACAUCGGCUACCCAUAAAACCAGGGUAUCGGCCGUACCAACAGCCUGCACGGCGCUGCAAUCCUAAGAUUCUACCAGAUAUUAAAGCUGAAAUAACUCGGCUAAUCGAAGCAAAAUUUAUUCGGCAAUGCCAUUAUGCCGAAUGGAUCUCCAACAUUGUACCAGUAUACAAGAAAAAUGGAAAGCUACGCGUUUGCAUUGAUUUCAGGAAUCUCAAUCAGGCCACACCGAUGGAUGGUUACCCCAUGCCAACGGCCGAUGUACUGAUCGACGCUGCCGCGGGGCACAAGAUUAUUAGCUUCAUGGACAGAAACGCUGGGUACAAUCAAAUACUUAUGGCCGAAGAGGACAUACCCAAAACGGCCUUCAGAUGCCCAGCACACCUUGGCUUGUUCGAGUGGGUGGUGAUGACUUUUGGCUUGAAGAACGCUGGUGCUACAUAUCAGAGAGCCAUGAAUUACAUAUUUCACAAACUCAUUGGCAUUCUGGUAGAGAUCUACAUCGAUGAUGUCGUAGUCAAGUCCAAAGGUCACGAAGAGCAUCUGGCCGAUUUACGAAGAGUGCUAGAGUGUACCAAAAAACACGGUCUUAAGAUGAAUCCCAAUAAAUGUGCUUUCGGCGUGUCCGCCGGACAGUUCUUAGGAUUCAUGGUACACGAACGAGGGAUAGAGAUCAAUCGGAAGACCAUAGCGGCCAUCAACAAGGUCGUGGCCCCGCAGAACAAAACCGAACUGCAGUCUUUAAUCGGCAAGGUGAAUUUCAUCAGAAGAUUCAUAUCUAAUCUAUCUGGGCGGAUUCAGGCGUUCGCACCACUGUUGAAGUUAAAGCCUGACCAGGAAUUCAUAUGGGGGGAGGAGCAGCGCAAAGCAUUGGAAGAUAUCAAGCAAUACUUGAUCUCGCCACCAGUAUUGGUUCCUCCUCAAACUGGUAAGCUGUUUAAACUAUACUUAUCAGCCGAUGAAAAAGCUAUUGGGUCGGCUCUAGUCCAGGAGUACGAAGGCAAGGAACGAGUAAUUUAUUAUGUCAGUAGAAGACUUCUGGACGCUGAAACAAGAUACCCUCCGGUGGAGCGUUUGUGCCUAUGUCUUUACUUCUCAUGCACCAAACUCAGGCACUAUCUACUGUCGGCAGAAUGCGUGGUCGUAUGCAAAGACGACGUAGUAAAAUACAUGCUAUCACUGCUGAUCUUGAAAGGCCAAAUCGGCAAAUGGAUCUUAGCUUUGUCAGAGUUUGACCUGCGGUAUGAAUCGGCAAAAGCCGUCAAGGGUCAGGUCAUGGCCGAUUUUGUCGCCCAGCACUGCGGACCGGAGAUUGCCCUCGUAGAGCUGGCACCUUGGAUAUUAUAUUUCGAUGGGUCAUCAUGUGGGGUCGGAUCAAGAAUCGGCAUCGUUCUCAUAUCGCCUCGGGGGGGCAAGCUAUGAUUUUUCUCUGCCGAUAGAAACCGCCGCUACUAACAAUCAAGCGGAGUACCGAGCUGUAUUGAAGGGCCUACAACUAUUAAGGGAAGUCAAGGCCGAUUCUGUCGAAAUCUUCGAAGACUCCAUGCUUAUUGUGGAUCAACUGACCGGAAGGUCCGAAUGCAAAGACGACGUAUUAAGAAUUUAUUACGAAGAUUGCUUACAGCUCUUAAAAGAAUUUAGAUCGGCAGUAAUCGAGCACAUCCCAAGGGACCGCAACGAAGAUGCCAACAAACUCGCCCAGCACGCAUCUGGAUAUCGGCCAAUUCUAGGCGCUAUGGCUCUAGAACUCACGGCCGAUGACUGGCGUAAAGAAAUUGCUGACUACCUGAAGGAUCCGUCUAAAAAGGUGGAACGACGAGUACGUUUUCAUGCUACUAAAUACGUACUGCUUGAAGACGACCUGUUCUACCAAACGAUCGACGAAGUUCUUCUCAAAUGCCUUGGGACAGAGGAGGCCAAGACUCUAAUGGGAGAAAUCCAUGAAGGGGUAUGUGGAGCACACCAAUCGGCCCAUAAGAUGAAAUGGAUGAUCAGGAAUAAUGGGUACUACUGGCCAAUGAUCCUCGAAGACUAUUUCAAAUAUUAUAAGGGUUGUCAGGAUUGUCAAAAGUUCGGAAAUGUCCAACGUGCAUCCGCAUCGGCCAUGAAUCCUAUCAUUAAGCCAUGGCCGUUCAGGGGAUGGGGAAUAGACCUUAUCGGCCAAAUUUACCCACCAUCAAGCAAAGGGCACAAAUUUAUUCUGGUGGCUACUGAUUACUUUACAAAAUGGGUAGAGGCAAUUCCGUUAAGAGCUGUGACAUCGGCUAUCAUGGCCGACUUCGUAAGGGAUCACAUCGUCUACCGAUUCGGCAUUCCUCAGACUAUAACGACCGAUCAAGGAACAAUGUUCACAUCGGGGGAAUUUGAGGAAUUUACGACCGAUAUGGGGAUCAAAUUGUUGAAUUCUUCUCCGUAUUACGCCCAAGCCAAUGGCCAGAACGAAUCCUCCAACAAAGGGAUAAUCAAGUUAAUCAAAAGGAAAAUCGAAGAACAGCCAAAAAAGUGGCAUCUGUGUUUGACUGAAGCCUUAUGGGCGUACAGGAUGGCUUGUCAUGGGGCUACCAAGUUAUCUCCCUAUCAGUUGGUGUACGGUCACGAUGCAGUACUACCAUGGGAAUCGAGGGCGGGGUCGAGGCGUAUUUCGCUCCAGGACCAGUUAACGGCCGAUGACUACUCGUCACUUAUGAAAAGGGAACUUGAUGAUUUGGCUGGCCAACGAUUGAGAGCUCUGAUAAGCAUUGAAGAAAAGAAAAAGAAAGUAGCCAGGUGGUACGAUAAGAAGGUCAAAGUCAAACAAUUCUCCCCUGGGACUUAGUAUGGAAGUUAGUAUUGCCGAUUGGGUCGAAAGAUCCUAAAUUCGGAAAGUGGUCCCCUACAUGGGAAGGGCCGUAUAAAAUCGGCAGAUGUGCUCCAGGGAAUGCUUACAUUUUGGAAACAAUAGAGGGAGAAGAAUUUACUAGAGCUCUAAACGGAAGGUACUUAAAAAGAUACUACCCCAGUAUAUAGGUCGGAGCAUAAGAGAUUAACCGUAAUACGAUCACACACAGCCGAUACAAAACGGUUCAAACACAUAGUCGUCCAAAUCGGCCGAUGAAUUCAUUCGGUACGGGCGAUGGGUUACACGGCCGACAGAACACAAGUCACCCUUAGAACAAAAAAUACAAAUAACUAAUUAUUUUUCUUCUUGCGCUCCCUCCCAGUCCGAUCCAACUCGUUCAUAAUACGGAGGUAUUCUUCUUCUAUUUCUUUCAUUGAAGCCUCCGCUUCAACUUGACGAGGGAGAGGAUGGCUCCAAUCCGUGGCCGGGCACGAAGUUCCCGCCGUCGCGUCUUGAAGAACGACUCGCGGAGGAUGCGGAUGGCUCCUGUCGGUUGGAGAGCGUCGGCUACCAUUGCUCUCCACAAACUCCAGGACCACACGAGCUUCCGCGGUGACGUGGUCUCGAAGUUCGUCAUGGUGAGCCCUGAUCAGCUCCAUAUCCUCUGACGACAAUGGGUCCUCAGAGUGUAUGAGCUCAAUGGCGCGUAUGAGCUCAGGGCUAAGACAUUGGGGCUGAAACAAAGAAAGAUUAAAAAAGGGCAUCCUCUUCCUAAGAUCUAAAAGGAGAAAGAGGAGUCGAGGCCAAAGUUUCACCUGGUUGACAGAGGAGGAGGAAGCCGACGAAGACAUGACAGAAAGCCGCGCCGACGAGAGGAGUAAGGAAAUAAAAACCGAAAGCCGAACUGGUACGUUCGGAAGGAAGUGCCUAGGCCGGUACUUAUAAGAAGAAGAGGCGUGGAAAUUUGGUAAGGAUACGUCCCAUCGGAAAUAAGGAAGGCAAUAAAUAGAAAGGGCGUCGCGAAGGGCGGUCAAAGCAGAUAGUAAAUGUUCGUACAAAACAGUUAGUGUUUUACAGAUUACCCAGAAGGGUAUCGAUAGCCGUGAUUGCCCGACGUCGGAUCUGAUCGGCAGAGUCCAGGACCCGUUGGUCUUCAUCCGCCGAUCUGGGGACUUCUGAAGCGCUGCGGUGGAGUUUUAGGGCCUCGUGGGCCAAGCGCUGCCUCUCCCGUGUCAAAUCGGCAAUGACAGAAGGGAGUUCUUGGAGCCUUUUCUCUUCGGCACUGAUUGCCUUGGUCACUUGCUCCAUCUCCUUAGCAAGUUCUUUGAGGCGGUCUAUCUCACCGAUGAUCCCCGGGCGGGAGUCCUCCAGAAAAUGGAUACGCGGAUGUGCCUCUUGAGCUUGACGCUUGAACGCGUCCUCCUCUUCACGAGUCUUGGCCAGCUUGGCGCGAUCGGCCAUGUGGCGAAGGGCUCUGAAGACCGGGAUCCUCAUAGACUCGAUGAAUGCCACCGACGCCAAGGCUUCCUCCGCCUCUUCUGGUACUCGUCCGCUGACGUCACCGAAGAGCUGCCGAAUCGGUGAAGCAUCUUCUACUAGUCGGCCGAUGUCCCCUUGAAGGAGGGAUCGGAUACUAGCCAGUUUGGCUCAGACGUCAUCAGGAAUGGAACUUAAGGCGACUUGGCGGGAAGCGACUUCUUCAUCGUCGGAGAGGGCAACCGCAAAAGAGAAGAGGCUGUUGUCGGGGGUGUCUUGUUCCUGGAGACAAUAAAAAGGAAAAAAAAUGAAUCGGCUGGGAGUAAAAGCAAAUCGGCUGAGUAAAGCCGGAAUAUAACUUACCACUUUGAAGCGAAUUUCUUCAUGUUGCAUUUGGGAAGCCGUCACGCCUUGCUCAGGGGCUUGCACCAUGGGUUCAUCAGAAGAGGAAGACUCCACAACGAUCGGCGCGGUGCUUGGACCAGCUCCCUGAGAAAAGACCGGUGGUUGAGGAGCGCUUGGUGUGCCGAUGACCUGUAUUAAUGAAUUGAAUAAGUAUAUUAUACAAAUAUCAGGAGAAAUUGGCGGAAUAGUGCUAUACCUCAACGGACGGGAGCGGGGGCGUGUCGAUGGCUGAUUGGGCUGCUGCCGAUUGUUGUGUAUCCAUGGGAAUGUUCUGUGCAGUCUAAGAUAAGAAGGGUUAAUAUCGGAACAACAAUCGGGAGGAAUAAAACUUAGGUCUACCUGAACGGCCUCCAAUAACAAUGACGCGGCGGCUGCCCCAGCUUGUGCGAUGACUUGGGUAUCGUCAUCUCUGGUGGCCUGAGAGGGUGGCGCGGCCGGAGUCUCUGCCGAUACAAGCAUAGGAGGAUCCGCCGAUUCUAUACAGGCUCGGACUCGGCGACUGGUCUUCUUGGUGAUCCUCUUCUGAACUUGUUUCGAUCGGCCAAUGAUCACGUCCACGGAUGGAGCAUCAUAGCCGAUGAGAGGAUAAGUGGUGUAUGGAUGAUGACUCUCUAUUAGCUGACCACUUCGGCUAUGUGUUGGAGGUGUACGGUUCUCGGCCUGAAGAAAUAACAAAACCAUUAGUAUUCAAUCACGUUAAGAGGAAUAAAAAUCGGCUAAGGAAAAUACCUCGGCGUUCGGGUCAAUGUUGGCUGGAUCCAGGAGGUUGCAGUAUGCCGAUGCCGAAUUGCAGAAGAGAAAUUGCUUCCAAUCGGCCCACCAGAGUUUGAACGGCUGGACAGCAAAGGGAGCUACUAACCAGUUGUUCAGGUCAAUGGUACUGGAGUCCGGAAUCCGGUCUCGUAACCGACUGUAAUCCAGACCGGAUGUGAGCUCAUCUCUAAACUUGAUUCGGCCAGCAAAAUACACUUGAAUCGGCAGCUGACCCAUGCCGAAUUGACGUGCUGCAACAGAAGGGUUGUAGAACUCAUACGUGGGGGCAUCUUUCCCCGAAAAGAAGUUGGCUGGCAAGAUUCCUGGCUUGAUUAACUCUUCGUUAAGCUCUUCGUCAAAAUGGCCAGUGGUCGAAUCGAAGCAGGUUGGGAGUUCAAAGACCGGGUCAUCCCGCUGAUAAGGAAACCAAAUGGUUGCAUCUUCAUUAAAGCCGUUAUAGAAGCAUCGGAAUACUCGGCUACCUUCAUGGCGGAAUAUGUGCAACCUGGAAAGGCUGAUGCCACUUCACCAAAGGACAUGCAUCGGCGACGUUUGGUAGGGUCUUCUGCCGAUUCGAUGUUGGGGAACAUCAUACGGUCCACCCUCUGCUGAGUGAUCUCGCUCAUGUAAAGGUUCAGCCACAAGUUGAUGAACCACCAGGGUCCGCCUGGAUUUCCGAUCAGCUCUCCCUUGGAUAGUCUGAUGCCGAUUUGGUGGAGCAUGUGGUACGCCGCCCCUAGUAAAUGUUUCCCAAGGGGAACAUGGUUUCCUCUGGACAGCGCUUCGGCUAAAGCCUGGGUGUUGGUUGAUGGGCCGGCGGCUCUUCCACAAAAGAAGUGUUUUUCUAGCCACAUCAUUAAGAAGGCUGUAUGCUCCCUAUUUUCAACAGACCCGGUUCUUUUAUUGCUUCUGAUGAAUCCCUUCCACCCGCCGAUUCCCCUUGUGUCCAGCCGAUGUGAUGUUGCGGCUAAAAGGUGGAAAGGUGUGUCCGGGGAAGAAAUGUCAAGGCCGGUCAACAAGACCACAUCGGCCAGUGUUGGGGUCAUAGGUCCGUGCCCAAAUAAGAAGGCAUUAAGUGCAUCAGACCAAAAAUAAGAAGCCGCUAUUACCAACGGCUCAUUUUUCUCCAUCUGAGACAAGGACAGGUUGAUGCACUGGCCGAUUUUGAGCUCCUCCCAUGAGACACUCUUCGACGCGGCUACCCGUUGGUACCAUUCCCUCCAACCUGGGGUUUCAUUCGGCCAGGACCUAAAAGUACCCAACCAUUGAUCUAAGUCCAUGUCGGACAGUUUGAAGGGUAUCCUGUGGGUUUCCAAAUUGAUAAGCUCUAUUGGAUCUGGGUUCCCCAUAGGUCCGAGACAAACAAGGCCGGGAUUUCCCGUAAGAUGGAUGGUAAUGCGAUGCCUAACUGCUUAAAAAAGGAAAGGGGGGUGUAAAAAAGUAAGAAACAGAUCUAAAGUAAAUGCAUUGCCGAUAGAAGAAGGAUUCGGUAUUAACCUCUGGGAUGAAGUUCUGAGUGGUCGGCGUGGUCGCCGGUGCAGAUGCGGACGAUGAGGCCGUGAUGGGGAUCGCCAUUGGGAUCUCCGAUGAAGCUCCUUCUUCUAUGGAUGGAGCAACGGCCGUCGCCACUACCGCCGGAGGUGCUACCUCUGGAACAUCGCACGUUGGAGAGCUGCCGGAGGGAGCCGCCAUUGGAGGAGAAGGGGAAAAGUAACAGGAGGAUGGCGCUAGAAAGCUUCGGCAGCAAGGGAAAGGUGCUCAAGAAAGAAGACGGCGCGCGCGCUGAGAAAGAGAGACGUGAGCUUGAAGAUGAAGUGCGGGGUGAGCCGCUAUUUAAAGGGUGCCUGAAGGAGGGUAAAAAUGGAAUUUUCACCGCGCCGGCGUUUCGAGUUUUUCGGGAGUAGUGGCUGUCGUGGGCGCCCGUUUCGAAAAGAUUGCAAUCAUCAGCUGGAAGACCGCGAAAUGGAAGGAUAUUUUCAUUGCGGCCGUUUCGGAGGGGAGGUUAUAAAGAAUUUCGAAGUAAAAGACUAUGUUUUACUCCGAAACUGGGGGGCAUGUGUUAACGCCAGAUUUCGUCACUAGUAAAAUCGGCGCCAAGAAGAGAGGGAAUCGGAGAAGCACAGUUGGGAAUCGGUCGAGUGGUGCUACAGUGCGAGAUUGGCCGGUGACUUCUGUCUCGCUUCGGAUCGGACGUGCCGGGGUCCCAAUCGGUUGCCUUUUGCCGAUAAGGAUUCGGCCGAUUAGGAGGUUGGUUUAAUUGGGCCUGUAUGGGCUUGGAAAGGAAUAAAAGGAUAAGGGGGAGAUCAGCCCAUGAAGCAUAGAGUAACCAACCUAGCACGAAUCGUGCUUCUAAAUAUUCGUUUUCUGUUUGAAUUAGGGAUAGAAUUCUAGUCGGUUAAGAAGUCAUCUGUACGGGGCUAUAAAUAGCUACCUUUGUAAAUCUGUAAUCAUCAACAAAUCAAUACAACAAGCUACUUUUUCCUCGUACUUACUUUCAAGCAGGCGACUUCGCCAAUACUUUUCUCUCUUUCACGAGUUCGUGCGGGUUGGCAGGGCUGCAUCAGCUUGAUCUCCGGCCGAUUCUGUAAGUUCCGCUUAUCGAGUAAUAUCUAAGCUUUAACUUCGGGCGUAUCGCUGUUGUUUCGUUUAGAUUUAUUCACUAGUUAUCGAUAUUUGCUAGAAUCAUAGGUUUUACCUGUCUUUCUAGUUUUACCACCAGUUACCCAGCUAGGAAUCGGUAGUUUCGGCUCUCUUCACAUUCUGCUAUUAGAUUCAUCUAUUGCCGAUUAGACCUAUUCCUGGUGUUGUUAUCAUAGCUUUGUAUCGAUUACUCUAGUGGUUUUCUGUCUACAAGGCUACAGUGAUCGGCUGUUUUAUAGCCGAUUCCUUUAUUACGGCAAAUCGGCCGAUUCGCUGAUAAGCUCCCUCGAGAUCGGAAACUUAGCCGAUCGUGAUUUCCGGACCUGACACGCAUUCUUCCUUGCCAAUCAAUAGGUCAGAUUGGCUGGCACGCCAUGCGAACCGCACCAGGGCAAUCACCCGAACAGGAGUUAAGCAGAUUCUCUCGGGUCGUGUGUCGGACGCUGGGAUUCGGUUGACCGAUUUCUAGCGCCAACAAGAAGAUAAGGUGCUGUUUUGUAGUGAAGUCACUGAAAAACUUGUAAAUUGUUAUCUCUUUUCUUAUGUCUUGUACCUUUCACAUAAAACCCCCUAGAUCUUUUAGUAUCUCUCAAUCUUAUCCUUGUCAUGUUUUUUUGCAGAUCUAACCUCGAUCUUUCAGCUUUUCAAGUGUCCUGUUCUAUGAGUCUAGGUAAACUUCUCUACUAACCAUUGUAGUUUACGGUUAAUCGUGUUUAGGUCCCUAGAUCUUGUUUAGCUCGUAGAUUUCACGUUUUAGCUCUGUUUUAAUGCGUUCAAGUUGCAUUCGGUUCAUCACAGCAUAAAGUACACGUUAGUGUUGUUGGCAUCCUAUAUUUCGUGUAUUUAAAAAAUAAAUUUAAUAUCAAUUUGAAUAAUGCCUAAUGAACAUGUGUUUCUCUAGAUAAAAGUUACCAAGAGUUAUCCAUCACUUUUCAUAAUAAAUAUCAAUAUGAUUAAUGACUACUUCAUAAUCUUUCUAAAUAAAAGCCAAUUAGGAUAUACACCGAUUUUUCAUAAACCAAAGAUAAUUUGAUUAACACUUAUUUGAGUAGGUUUCUACCUCGGUCUUUGCAAAUAAAGUAUAAUCUGUCUUAAUUCUAACUUAGGGUAUUUUCUUUCUGAAAUAUCCUUUACAUAUGUUUUGCUAAAUAAAAUAAACCUAGCUUAUAGUUUUUUUAUUUCUUUCAUGAAUCAAAUCUCUCGAUAGUUCCAUUCUCAACGUUUCCCUAAAUCGAACCCUCAUCCUUUAGUACACUCUUUUAAGCCUUUCUUUUGUUUUGGUGUUUUGUUCUUAGUUGCUGUUGUUGUUUGUUUGUUGCUGAUGUUUGUUUCAAUUAGAAGGAUCGCCAUCCGAAGCUUUGAAGGUUAAGAGUUUCAAGAAAGCAAGGACUGAUGAGCAAUAAGAGUAACUUGUCGUUGGAGAAAGGCAAGUGUCCCUAACCAUCCUUCUACCUAUGCUUUAUUCACAAUACCAUGAGAAUGUUAAUUAGAACAUGGAGAACCACCCAAGAAAACAGUACAACCACAACAUCACAUGGCUCUAAUCUUAGCUGACUAAUUAGGCAUGUGGUUGACUAGUGGCCUUACCGAAAGGGCAAAGAGGGGGAAGGUGUCAGGGGUAUGACCCGGAGCGGUAGCCUUCUAAGGUGUUGAAUCAUUACAACAGGUUGUGACCUACACCGCUACUAAAACUCUAGCGGGCUACUAGUUGUCUAUAUGUCUUUGUAAAGGCUUUGUAGUGGACCCCCUAGCCACUCACUGAAGGAAGUGUUGAAGGGCUUUGCAAACCCGGGUGACACGGGAAACCACGAGUUGUGGGUAAAGUGUACAACCUCUGUAGAGUGUAAACUGAUAUAUCAGCCGUGCUCACGGUUAUGAGCGGCUUGGACCCUCACAUGAUUAAUUAAACUUGAAGUUGGACUUAAAUCGUUAAUUAUGGUUAGCUCCUGUGGUCUUGCUAAGUACCAACCAUAAGUGUACUCACCCUUGCUUACCGCUUUUCAGAAGAAGAAGCUGCUAUGAAGAUGAUGCUGAGUUCUAGGCAUACGCAACCCCCAGUCGAGUGCCUGUGAUGUUUCAAGCCUUCGUUUCCGGAGUUUAAGUUGUGUUUCUCUGAUAGUCUUGUAAGUCUUUUUUGUAUCUUGUCGCGUGAUACUGUUGCUAUUAUUCACUAAUGAUGUCACUAUAUGUAUGUAAUUAGAUCCUGGCAUACAUAUAGAUAGUACUUGGUUUUGUUUUAAAAACUGGGUGUGACAGAUUUAAACCAUCAGGCAAAUUCUUUCUGAAUUCUACGAUUAAUAACCUGGUCUGACACACCUUCCAGUUUUAACUGAUCCUUGUAUAUCCUGCAAAAACACAUCCAUCUGAAAAUUAGACCGAAAUAAUUACAGUAGAAUCAACUCAUGAAGGAUCACGUACCUAAUAUAUGGCUCAACAUCUUUGCAAUCAUUUAGCACAUACCAAACCAACUUGUCGUAAUCCAAAUCAAGGAAUGAAGUCUUCACUGCUCCAAGUACAUCAACAUUGUGCUGGAAAUAAGAUAAAUCAGCAUUCUCUCUGUUCCUGCCCUCCUAAUUGAAUCAUGUGCCAAUAUCAUCAUCCGCAAAGUACCUUGAGCAAAAUGUCAAGGCCUCAUUAGCAAUAUAUGCUUCUACAAUGGAUCCUUCAAGCCUAGCCAUGUUUCUCACCGAACGCUUCAAUAUGCAUAGCCUUCUUUCGACGGGAUACAUCCAUCCAUAUUGUAUUAGGCCUCUUCGGAUUGCUUCCUCAAGCAAAUGGAUAGCCAGCACCAUAACAUAAAAAAAAGCAGGUGGGAAAAUUUUCUCAAGCUUGCACAAAACUAUUGGGAUAUUUGUUUUCAGUUUCUUCAAAACAUCCAACUUCAAAGUUUUGCAACAUAGUUGCUGAAAGAAGUUUCCUAAUUUUGAAAUAGUUGAUAAUGUCUGUUUAUCCAUUGAACCUCGAAGGGAAGCAGGCAAUAUCCUUUGAAGUAGGAUAUGACAAUCAUGAGUUUUCAGUCUUUGGAGUUUGCAUCCAUCAGCGGCAAUACAUCUUGAUAAGUUAGAAGCACUAGUCGAGAUUCCAUGCAUUUGCACGGUCUAGUUUAUAGAAUUUUAAUUUAGCUGCUAUAUUAACUCAAAUAACAUUUCCGGUAAACUCGCUAAACAAAUGAGGAUGUUCCAAAUUUAAAUUUAUUUUACAGGAAUUUUGUACAAUAUAUGUAUGUUCUCUACAUUGUCCGUGACCUAUUUUAUGCUAGAACUUUUGCCAUGAGUGUGGUAUAUGUCCAAAUAUAGCCUCUUUGGUAUCAGCUGUAUAUUUUUUAUGAAACAUAAACAUGUGCAUAUUCUCACUCAUGCACACACGUGUGCUAUCCCUAUGAUCAGCCUGGAGAGAUUGAGCCGGCAGUUGUUGAGAUUGAUAUAGCCGUCUUCGUUAUCUAUGGAUCCAUCACGUACCAUUGAAUGGAUAGUUAGCUGCAAAUGUGAGCAACUGUAUUGCAUCAGAGGCUCAAAUAACACUAUAAGAAAUAUGACCUCUCAUCCCGAGGCUUUGUGCCGGUUAGGUUUGGACCCGGUACUAAUGUUAGCAUUAGCGGCUUUGUACAACGUGUUUCGAUAAUGUUAUCGCAUUAAUAACUCUGAUUUUCCUGUGCAGCUAGUAUUUUCUAGCUAGAUAUGAUUGCCCUUUUGCAUAGAAAUAAGUUGUAUCCAUCUGAGUUCAUAUAAAAAACUAUAAAUCUCCAAACACUUAGAUUUUAUUCCUAGUACUCCUAAAUCUCGUCUAGCAAAUAAAUUAGAAUUGAUUUCUCCCAUGAAUUGAAAUACUUAGAAAUUACCGAGAACUUUUAUGAUGUUGUCAUUUAUUGUAACAAAAUUCAUCAAAUAGUUCAAUCAAUUAUAGAAAUGUGCAAAUCACUAUAAAUAUUUUUGUUCUCAAUUAUUGUGUAAGUGUUUCAUUCUAUUUUUGUUGUCAUUUUCUAUUUUUUAUUUCUGCAGUAUAUGAAUUACCUAGAAAUAUUUGGAAAAGCUUAUUAAUUGUAAAUUGUAUGCCAUACCAUGUUACAUAUAUGUCAUUCUUAUCAUAAGUUUAAUUCCUUUAAUUUAUUGUUACAAAUUGUUAUUUAUUUAGUCAUUUAUUUAUUGUUAGAAAUUGUCAUUUAUUUAGCCAUGUUACAUACUAGAAAAGCAUUUUUAGUCAAUUAUUUAUUGUUACAAAUUGUAUAAGUGUUAUAUUCUUUUUGUAGUCACCCUUUUAUUUUAUACUAGUUACAAUGGCACAAUCGGAGGACGAGCAUGACGUACAAAUGGCAGAGGAGCUCAUCUUUCUGAUGAUUGCUGAAGGCGGCAAUCAACCAAAUGAAGAGAUCGAUCACAGCCAGGCUGACAUCUACCUCAACAUGGCUGGUGAUAGCAACGAGGAGCGACCAAUUGUCGAGGGAGGCAAUGAGGAGCAACCAGUUGUCGAGGGAGGCAAUGAUGGGCAACAAGGCAAGGUAUAGCAAGUAUUAUACAUAUACAUUAUUUGAAUUCUCUUCUUAUCAAAAGAAACAUCAUCACGCAACAUUCCAAUCACGCAACAUUUCAAUUGUCAUUUUUCAGCCAUCUGGAUCGAGCAGGAGGCAUCAAAAGAAAUGAGACAAGAACAAGAACUUAGAUGGUUGUAUCAUCGUCACAGAAAUUGCUGAAGAUGGUGAACUGAUUGCUCCUGCCAAUGCUAAGACAAUGUUGGUGAAUUAGAUUGGAUUUCUUGUCAAAGAUAACAUCACAAUCAGCUUUCAGAAUUGGAAAAAACCUAACAAUUGUUGGAGGUAUGCCCUAGAGGUAAUCAUAGAGAUGAUGAUAUUAUAUUUGUAUCCAUGAUUUAUAUAUUGUGUUCAUUGAAUAUCCAUUAAAGGCUACUUGAAUUGAUUUGCAAUUAUGUGAAUUGUAUGUGAAAAUCUUUACUUGUAUGGUUAUUCUAAAGUUGUCCCUAGUCGGAGUUCAUGUGAGGACACACAUGAAUAUUAGACUAGCACAUGUAUUAGUUGAUGACUAUGUUUC
rnacentral:lncRNA from 1 species